CUACAUCACAACUGUAACAAAAUAGUUUAAUGAAUCUAAGCUAACUGGUUUCGUCAUUUGAUUUUCAGCUGUUUAUAACAAGGAAGAUGAUAUUGGAACCUAUACUAUCAAAGCGGUUGAUGAUCCCAGAACCUUGAACAAAAUCCUUUACAUUAAACCCCCUGGUAAUAUUUACUCAUUCAAUGAUCUUGUGUCCUUGUGGGAGAGAAAGAUUGGCAAAACCCUCGAAAGGGUGUACGUUCCGGAGGAGCAAGUCCUAAAGAAUAUUCAAGGUUAGCUAGAAUUCUUACUUUUUAAAUUUUAUCAAAGAGAGCAAUAAAUUUUGUGCCUUAUUAGUACUGCCUUCUCCGAAACGUUGCAGAAGCUGCACCUCCAGUCAAUGUGAUAUUAUCAAUUCAGCACUCUGCUUUCGUGAAGGGAGAUCAAACCAAAUUCCAGAUUGAACCAUCGUUUGGAGUUGAAGCCUCGCAGCUUUAUCCUCAAGUCAAGUACACUACAGUUGAUGAGUAUCUCAGUCAGUUUGUGUAACCCUUCUCUGUUGAGCUGCAGCUUGCAGGAUCUUGGGAAAUAAAUAAUUGGCUUGUUGCCAUCUUUGGUUUCUAUAUGUAAGCAUUAUGGUUGUUGGCCUUACUUUCGUUUGGUUCUCAAUGGAAUUUGUAACACGAUAUUAUGUCCGCUAUGUCAGUACACAGUGAUUAAAUAAAGUAGCUCCAUGUGCUUAAUCUAAAAAUAAUUAUAAAGUCACAAGCACCUAAAAGUUAAACAACAAUGAUAUGCUUACAACAAUGUGUACGACAUCUAAUACAACAAGGAUCAUUUUGCAAAAUAUGUUAAAUUUUAUUAAUUUCUUUGCUGCCCAAAGAUUUUUAUAUUCAUCUUAGGGACCUAUAAUCUUAAUGAAUCAUCUCUUCUUCCAUUUCUCCUACAUCUAUCCUUAAAGCCUUUUAAAGUUUUAACUAUUAUUUUAUAAACUUUUAAAUGAUUAUCAAACUUAUAUAGAUCUAUAAAUUCUAGAUGAGAUCCUAUAUUUAUGAUCAUUUACCUCUUUUGUAACAUGGACCAAAUUUUUUCUUUUAACAUUUCUAUACACACACACACACAUCUAUUUUUCCAACUAAGGAUUAUGUCAUCAAGGCUUUCACAGAGAGGUUGCAAUCUAAAUUUAGCUUCUUGAAUGAACAUAUUCAUAUUAUCAUUAUUAUUAUUCAUUAGUUAUGGUCGGUUUUGAGUUCUAUUAUUAGUUCUGCACCUAUCUUGUAUUAUUUCAAGACUAGACAAAAUUGAUUCCAUUAAUGCUAUCCUAUUUUCCUCUUCAAAGGAAUCAAAUACUUCUUGGUCGUUAUGGAUGUUAAUUCUUUUCAUUUCUUUGGACAAGCGCUUGCUUGCAUUCGAUCUGAUUUUAACAAUAGAAAUUGUAUAAACAACUUGAUAUUCUUAACUGAAAUAUAAAUUAUCAAUUGAAUCUAAAAACUUGUUAACAGAUGUUUCCAUUUUUUUGAAUUUGAGUUAAUCUUAUCACUUUUUUUCUUAUAAAAUCUCAAAAAACAAACAAGACCCAAUAUACUUCCGUUUGUUGCUAAAAUAAAAAAAAAGGUUCAAAAUUACUAUCUCUCGGAAUUCUAAGAUAGAUUCACUAAUUGCCUCCAACCAUAGAGAGGUCCAUAGUCAGCACUGCUAUAAGUCCACACAUCAUGUAAGAUCAACUUAGCAACUAUUCUACACGGCCUAAUGCAACACAUAGCAGUUUGGCCUUGUAAGAUAUGUCUAAGUGAAUUUCUUGCAAUUGUCUCUGGAAAAGUACUUAAUAACAAGAAAUCUUCCUCGUCUAACACAAGUAUUGGCCUGUAAGCUUCUUAGUUAAUUUCUAACAAAAUAUAUGAUAUCAGGAAGAUGAUAAUUUCACUUAAAAGAGUUUUUUAUUUAUUUUAUAACUAGAAAUGUUUGCAAAGGAAAGUCAUAGAGAAUACAAAUGUGGGUGAAGGUUUAGACAUAUGAUGUCCUCCAUUUCUUACAUGUUUCGAUUUAUAAGCUUGAAGAGAUAAUAUUAUCUCCUCUUACAUGACACUUGUUAAAUUUUUCUAGUGGAUUGUGGAUUCCUUUAUGAUAAGGUGACCCCUAUCUUCUUCUAUCAUUAAAGACAUAUGUUGUCAUCUUUUUCUUAUUGACUAGCAGCCUUCACAUGGUUAUGAUAAGCUUUAUCUUUUUGGAAUCUUUUCUUAUCUUUUCACAUGCCAAUUAUCAGUUCUUCAUCUAGCGGCAUGUCUUCCCCAUUAGAUUCCCAUUUUGAUCCUUUGUAGCAAUAACCAUAUGAUGACUGAUGAUUUAGCACCUUGCAUACCUCGUGGUGUGUUAGCAAGCUAGAUUCCACGAGAUUUUCAUAGAUUGCAUUUUUCUGUUUUAGUAUUGCCUAUUGUUGGAUAUAAAUUCAAUUGUUAGUGGUGUCAAUGUGCAAGUGUACACAACAAGUAGUAAAGUGAUGAGUAAUCAAGAUCGUAUCCAUAGGGAUUGAUGUUAUUAGACUUACUACAACAAUCUUAACAGUGCAGAUUUUUUUUCUAAAUUAAAAUAAAUAAUUGAUGAAACUAAUGUACUAAUUAAAAUAAAAACACAAUAAAUAAAAUGCAAUAAAGUAGAUUAUCACGUCAAAUUCAAGGAUAAAACCAAUGGGAAUAUAGAAUAGUUUAGUGAAUAAACUCUCUUAAUGGUCUUGACUAUUUUCUAAUGUUUGGCUCGGUUGUUGCAGCAUCUGCUAUAGCACUGGGAAGAAUCCUUAUGUAUCCUCAGCUGUCGCAUGUUGGAUGUCUUAUAUCUAUAUGCAACUUAAUAGUGAUCAAUUGUUAUGCCAACAUAAGAUAUAGCAUUACACGUUUAGGUUUUAAUUACCCUACAAGAUUGAUUAACACUAAAAAGUGUACGUGUAAUAAGGAUAAAAUUAUUAGUUUUUCACUUAAAGUGUUGAUUAAUGCACGCAUAACUUAUAAAUUAUAUGAAUGCACCCCAAAUAAAUUUUUGUGUUAAAUUAAUUCGCAAUAUGUUAAUUUUUAUCUUAUAAAUAUUUUUCAGGAAUAAAUUAGAAUUGAAAGCGGGAACAAAGAAGGACUGCUGGAGCAAUUUGGAAGCAUUAUUGAGGAGAUGUAAAUAAAGAAAAAAAUAAAAAAUAAAAAAUAAAAAAUAAAAAAUAAAAUAUAAAAAAGAAAAUGAAUAAAAAAAAUAAAAAAAGAACAAAAACCAAGCAAUUUAGUUUCUCAUGAUGGCCACUUGACCAUUACACAUUUCAAUGUACACAUAUAAUAAUAAUAAUAAUAAUAAUAAUAAUAAUAAUAAUAAUAAUAAUAAAAUAAAUAAAGAUAAUGCAUUCCUUGCCUAUAAAAGGCAAGGAAAAGCAGAGAGCUGGGCAUUGAGAAGUUAGAGAACUGAGUAGAGACAGCUUAAGCCGAAAGAGAAUAGAGUGCAGCUGAGGAAUUGUGUCUUUUUCUUCUUUUGUUGUAAUCAACUUUCUUGUAACGUAUUUCCAAAGUUUAUCAAAUAAAUAGAGUGUUGUAUUUUCUUUCAGUAUGAAUGACUAAUUUUAUUAAGCUGAGGUGAAGAGUGAAGCUCAAUAUUUCAAACUAUUAAAUUUAUUAUUUUCUCAAAUGAGUUUUAAAGUUUAUUUUGUUCUUUUCUAGUUAUUUUUAUGUCAUGUUAAUUUAGAAAUUUCUUUAGGAUUUGUAUAGUAUUUUGACACAAUGUCGACACAUUAAUAUAGUGUGGCAUAUUAGGUACUUUAUUCCAUAUUUAUCCACACACAUAGAAUUAAAUGAUAUAAUAAUUAACUGGUAAAAGUGAGGUAAAAUAUAAAUGCGAGAGUAUUAAAAUUAUAGUUUGAAUACUGAGAGUGGAUAUUGUAACCUUAGUAUAUUUUUAAAUUGUUUUCAAAUAAUUUAUUUUCCCACAAUUAAUUUUCUUUGUUUAAUAAAUUGACAACUAGAUUUUAAAAUUUCCUAUGGUUCGACCCCGGACUCACGGGUUAUAUUAUAAUUAGACACUCUUAUACUUGGGAGUAAUACACUUUUAAGUUGUGUCAAAGGUGAAUCUCUAUGUCUAGUUCAUCACUAAUUUUAGAUUAAGCAUGACCCUUUUGGGAUUAAAUAAAACUCAAUCCAAGAAACCCAAUCUAAUACCAAGUAUUGCUAUGAUAUGCUUCACUAAGAUAAGCCCUUGUGUGGCUCUUUUUUAGCUAGUAUCAUUAAAUGGGUGAUCAACCGAAAUAAAUAAAAAUAAAUAUUAUCAAAAUAAAAUAUUACAGCAAACAUGCAGCAACUCAUAUAUUCAGUCAAUAAACCAUCAAAAUUGCUUAUCACUCAACCACAAAUAAAUCUAGUUCACGGUUUGAAAAAGAAAAAUAAAGAACAAAGUUUUAGCCAUCAAACACAUUCCCAUGAAUAAAAAGUAAACAUGAAAAUAAGAGAAGAAUAAAAAGGACUGAGUUCCCGCUUGAUUUCUACAAAUUCUCCUCUUGUGCAGCCCUUAAUCUCUCUCUUAAAUUUUUUUUUCUUUUGUUUCUUUGUGGUUUUUCUCCUUGGGUGACAGCUCUUUCUUUUCAUUAUGAUGUGUGCUCCUUUUGUAGUUGAAAAUUAGGGUAAACAGAAGCAUAGGUCGUGCAUAAGUCAGAUUAGGAAAUUGCAAAUCACAAUAUUCUGUAAAAUUUUCUCUGUCAUCGUUCCAGAAUUGCUACAGCAACGAAUGUUAUGCUGCAGCAACGAUUGCUACAGUAAUUACUACAACAACUGCACUGUUCUAGAUUUAUUUCAAUUCUUCUGUAGUCAAGUUCUUUUUCAUCUUUUACAAGACUAUUACAACAACAUUCCUUUCUUGAAAUUUGAGCUUCCGGUCACCUACAAUUAUGCAUAUAAUUUAAGCACACAAUUUAUUCUAAAUCAAACAAAAUUUAUGAAGAAUAAACUAAGAUGAAUGAUUAUGCAAAAUAUAACUAAAAUGCAAUAAAAAAACAUGUUAUUUACUCUCAAAGUAAUCUUGAUUUAAGUCUAAAAGUGUCAUGAUAACUCUCAUUUUAUAAAGUUAUCACCUAUCUGGCUAAGAUACUUUCUUUUCUACUAAAAAAAAAGAUUAUAUGGUCCUUUGUGGCUUCAUGGAGCCAUAUUUUUUUCUUACUUAUCCUCUCGAGAAAUUCAUGGAGGACUUUCAUUUAAAUGAUCUCUUUGCUCGUGAGAGCUUUAGGCUCGAAUAGUUUGGGAUAAUAAUCAUUGUAGACCUGACCUACAUCAACAGUUGGACUAACUUUUUUACUACUAAUCCCAACUUAUAUCUAUGUGCUGCACUGGAUACCAUUUGUUAUUACAGUGUUCAGGGAAAGCAGUGAGAAUCUUGAAAAAAAUCAUAUCUCUUGUUUUAGAUAUUCUUUUGAGAUCACUGACAGCCUUUGUAAUUUUUUCGGGGAGCUUUUUUAAUUCCCUACAUAAACAAGGUUAAAAAAACUAUAUUCAAACAUUUCUUUUAUUAAUUUUGCAUCAGCUUCUGGACCAAAGUUAAUCCUUAGGUAAUAUCCUAAAUGAUUCGGUAUUAUAGCUUGGCUAGGACAAAUCCCAUAGGCUAUUUUACCAAUUAUUUUACAAUCAUAAGUGUAAUUGCUUCCUAGUGGAAUUUUAACCAUUAGAAUGGAUUGUUCGCUUUUAUCAUAUUGAGGCCUUAAGCUCACUGAAGAGGUUUAAGAUUCUUUUUUCUUUUGAGUUAUAUGAAGAACUCUAGGUAGUCUGCCCUUCAGUUUGAUCCUUGAAAUGGAUCUUUUUUAGCUUAUUACUAAUAUAUUGUUAUAAAGUCUGGACUUCUGGAUGAUUUUGCAAACUUUUGUCAGGGCAAAGUCAGCUCAAUUCUUCAUGGGCAGCAUUAAUCAUGACAAGCCCAUCAUAAAUCAUACUAUUGCCUUUGAGAAGCAAUUCUUGUCCUUUAGAGCACAUCAUUAUGCCCUUAAUUAUUUCGGAAAGACUCCUCUCCAUGUAUUCUCGGCUAAGAAAAUCUGCAAUACAAGGGUUAGGUCAUUUAAUAUAUUCAAUUCAAAAAUCAUAUUUAGUAAAGAACUGCCGCCAUCUAAUUAAUCUUUUAUAUUAAGGGAGAUUAGACAAUUUAUUAAAUAUAAAUCCUUUGACUCAAGUGUUAUUAGAUCUUACCUUGAAUUUCUUUGGUAGCAAAAAGAAAGUAAAUUUAGUUAUUCCAUUUUUAAAUAUAAAUGUUUCGCUGACAUAUCUGCAAAUCUUUUCUUGAUCUAUUUUUAAAACUGCACCCCAAUGAUUAUCUGAAGCAUUAGUUUCAAGAAUUAAAUUAUCACUAGUGGUAGGAAAUCCUAAUCUUGGUAGAUUUUUACAUUUUUCUUUUAAUCUUUUUCCCACUUUGGUAUAAAGAUCUUCCCAUGAUUUUAUAUUGUUCUUUUUUAAUAAUCCUUGUGAAAGUUGUUUUUCUUUAACUAAGUUUUAUAUGAAACCUUCAGCAUAAUUAAGGCAUCCUAAAUAUCUUUGAAUUUGUUCUUUAGAUUCUAAUUUAUCUAGGAAUAAAUAUAUAUUUUCAAAAAUAUGAGGUUGCAUCUCAAUACCUAUUUCAUCUAUUAUUAAUCCUAGAAAUUCUAUUCUAGGUUUCAUUAUUUCGGCUUUCUUUUUAGAAAGUAAUAUUCCAUGUUUCUUUCAUUUUUCUGUAAAAGAAACGAGAUGAUUAAUAUGAUCUAUCUCAUUAUCUAAAUAUAUUAGAAUAUCAUCCAUAUAAACAAUGCAAAAUUCAUGAAAUUCUUUGAAGAUUUUAUCCAUCCUUCUUUGAAAUAUUUGUGGUGCAUUUUUUAAUCUAAAAAGCAUCACAAUCCAUUUAUAUUGUCCUUAAGGUGUACUAAAGGCAGUAAGUGGUAAUACUCUCUUCUACAAGUUUGAUUUGCCAAAAUCCAUAUUUGCAAUCAAACUUGCUAAAUAUCUUUUUAUUAAUUACAAAGGUAAUUAAUAUAUUUUUAUGAGGUAAAAAGUAUCCAUCAAAUUUGGUAUAUUUAUUUAAUUAUUUGUAGUUAAUAACCAUACGAGCUUUUCCUCAUUUAAUCUCUACAUGAUUCCUAAUCAUAAAGAUUGUACUACUAUGAGGACUUUUAAAUUAUCGAAAAAUCUUAAGUUCUAAUCUCUUUAAUUUGUUUAUCAAUUUUUUGUCUAUCUUCUUGCCCAUAUCUCAUAGGCUUAACACAUAUAAUAACAUUUGGAUCUUUUAAUUCGAUCUUAUCAUAUGCUUUAUCAAUUUCCCAUAAUUGAAUGGGGUUUUCACCAAAAUUUUUAUCAAGUUUUUCUAAAUUUUUUUCAUAAUUUGAUAUGAUUUGAUUGAUUUUUAUAGCAUAAUUACCACGCUAGUUGUGUUGAAAAUGUAAUUUUUGAGUUGUUCACCUAACAGGGUUAUAAAUUCUUGGUGUAGUAACGGAAUGAUUACAUGAUGUUUUAAGAAUAAUUAUUUCGUUAGUCAUUGUAUAAAUGAACUGAUGAAGGAAAUUAAUUCCUAAAAGUAUAUCUACACAUAUAUGAUCAUAAGACCAUAAUAUAGGGAUACUUAGGAUAUAAUCUUCUAUUUGGAUUAAAGUCUUAAUCCUACAUGUCCUUAAGGUGAUCUAUUUAACAUUUAUUCCUUGUCCUGUUAAAGGCUUAUAAUCUUUCCAAUAUGAUUUUGGAUAAAACCUAGAAUUAGCUAAACUAACUCUUGAACCAGUAAUAAUUAAAGCAUGAAACCAUUCUCGCUUAUGCUUAUAGUAUGGUAUGAUCAUUUUUAUAUGAACUACAAAAAGAUUAGACAUAUCUUGAUAUGGUUUGCUUAAUCCCUUCAAUUGUUAUGCUUAUUUCUCUAUCUCUUAUGCAAUAAGGAGAGAAAUUUUCAAAAAAAAUUCAUCCCUAAUAAUAAAGGAUUUAUUUUUGUUUCAUAAUUUGAUUCUAUGAAAAAAAGAAAGAUAAAUUCUAUUCCUUUUAUUCUUAAUGGUAUUUCACACUACUGACUUAAUGUCUUUCUUUCUCCAUUAAAGCCUACAUAUGUAUGAGGUUCAAUUAGAAUCUUUCUUUCUAAAUAUUUAAUCAUUUUGGCAUCAGCAUAAGAUUUUACUACUCCUGUAUCAAGGAUAGCAAAAGUCUCAUGGCAUGAUUUUCUAUUAUUCUAUUCAAUCUUGAUUUUUAAGUUUUGAUUAUUUUUCUAACUGUGGCCGAUAUUUCAUGUGAUAGUGGUAUGACAAGAUGGUUACAUCUAGUAUAACUUUGGGUUCUACUUAAUUAUGGUUCUAUUUUGAGUAUAGAGAAUGAUCUUCUAUUUCCUAUGAUGAUUCUUCCUUCUAGAGUAUAUUCUAUGGGUUUAGUAGUAUUUCCCCUUAUCAGAGUAGGUUGACUACUUAGAUCCAUUUCCCAUUCUUCUGGUAAAUUUAUUUCUCUUAAAAUUUUAAGAGAUUGUGUCAUUCCAACUUUCUUAACUAAUUUAUCUAUUUCAAUAAAAUCUUUAUUAGCAAACAUUUCACUAUUGGCUGAAUUUGUUAAUGCAUAUUCUAUGGCAUACGUUAUGCUAUAUGGAUAAGAUCUAUCAUGCAUUAUAUCAAAGUAUUUAAAAUUACGGCAUAAGGUUAAUUUAUUUAUAUUUCUAUCUCUAAAACUUAUAGAAUAUAUGGAAUAUAUCUUAAAUAUCAAUUUUUUUUUUAUAACUCAAGUUCUUUAUAUUAUUCCAAGGAGUGCAUGUUUUCGAUCUUUUAUUCUAUUAUCAAGUACUGCUAAAUUUACAGGACUAUCUAUUUCUUUUCGAAAAUGAGCUUUUAUCAUGACUUGGAUUCUUCCAAUAUGGACAUAUCCAAUCUUAGGUCUGUCGCUAGAUUUUAUCUUUUAUAUCAGAUUUUAAUAAUAAUGGUAUAUUUUGUAUUUCCCCUAGCAUACCUAAUUUCAACAAGCUCUUCUCACACAGUAGCACUAGAAUACGUUAUAUUUUUUCUUUUAAUCAUGUUAGCAAUUCCUUGUGCUAACUUAUUAAUUGAAGUCAUGGAUGAUUCUAAUCCUUUUUUUUUAAUCUUAAGGUAUUGUUUUUUUUAUCAAAGAUUAAUUCUCUAUUAAAAGAACCUUAUUCAUUAAUUCUCUAUUAAAAGAACCUUAUUCUUCUAAUUCUUCAUCCUGAUAUAAAUCUUUAUUAUCUUGUUCUUCUAUACUCAUUCUGAAUCUGAACUACUUGAAGUUUCUUCAGAAAGAUAAUAUAUAUUAUCGUUUUCACUAAUAUCUUCUCUAUUUGUAAUUAAUUCUAAAUUGUUGAAAUCCUCAAACAUCUUUAUGUUUGCUUUCUUCUUUUUAGGACAUUCGUUUGCAUAAUGCCUAUCGUCAUUGCAUAACCAACAUUUAGAUGCAUUGGUCUUAGAUUUUCUUUUAAAUUUAUUUUUCUUGUAGAAUUUCUUCUUAUAUUUACUUUUGUUGUAAUAUUUCUUGUUGGUUUUAAAGAAUUUCUUCCUACGUUCAUAGAUUUUAUCUGAACAUCCAAAUCUUGGUGGAUCUUCUAACUUAGAACAACAUAAUCCUCGAUUUUGCUUUUUUAUAAGUCUUUUAUCUCUUAUUUCAGCACACCAUUCGCUGAUUCUAUUUCCAGUAAAUCUGAUCUUAUUUCCUAAGGUAUUAGUUUUCGUUGUAUCUUCAUAUUUCUUGUUAUAUUCUAACAUAAUCUUUUUCCCCUAUAGGUCUGGUAUCUUUAUAAAAUAUAGAUCAUUAUAAUAGCAUAUGAUAUUUUCAUGUUUAUCAAAUUCACAUUUAUAAUAUAAUUUUUCGAGGCUACAUGUGUAUUCUUCUAAAUAACAUAUAUUACAUAUUUUAAGCCUUAUUAGCUUUAUUACAUUUUCCAUCAUUUUCCUCUUUAUUUCCUGUUGAAAAUUAGUUUCCUAAUCUUCUCCUAAGAAUUCUUUCCUUAUUUCAUUUUCAAAUUUAUUUACGACUUGAUCCAAGCUUUCGUCAUGAUCAUUAUUUUCUCCAUAUAAUAUUUUAUUUUUGUCGGUAUCCUUUAAUUCCAUAAACCAAUGUGACACUAUUCCUAUAAACGAAGUUUUAAGAAAUCCUAUACCAUUAUUUCUAUCUAUUUUGUUAAAUGCAAAUGCCUUUUUCAUAGAUUUAACCCAAGCGGUAAUCGUUUAGUCUCUAUCUUUGACACAGUCUAAAUCCAACCAUACUCCAUCAUAGUUGAUUGGUCUGUCUCUGUAUUCUCUUGGAGUUUUAUAUAUAUUUUUUUAGGUUUGUUAACCCUAAAAUAUUGACCUUGUGGUUUUCAUGAGUUGGUAUUUCUUUCCUAGCAUAGGAACCUCUAUUACUAGAUUCCCUUUGUUCAAAGACCCUUGGCUUUGAUUCAUUCAUUUUUAAAUGUUCUAUUCUAUUUUCAAUAUCUUGUAAGUUAAUAAAUACAUCUUCUUCCUCUUCAGAUUCAUAUUCUUUAUCGGAUAUCUCUGGAUUAGAUAAUUCUUUUAAUCCAUUAUCUAUAUUUUCACUUAACAUCCUUAAACUUAUUAAUUUUUAUCUUCAUUUAUUUUGUUAAAUAUUGGUCUUGAUAUUGCUACCAUUUUUUUAUUUUUCUUUUCAUCGUAGUAAAUUAUGGUAUCUUCUAAAAUUUUAUUUUUUUCUUGAAUUACCAUGAGUAGUUCUUCCAUAUUGUUACUAAUCUUUUGUACUUCAAUCCUUUUGUAAUUUUCCAUUUAUACUUAUUGCAAACUUGUUACCAAGUUGUUCAAUGAUUUUUUCAAUUUUAUAUAAUUGAAUUUCUAUCUUAUUUAAUUUAUCUUCAAUUAAAUUUUUGUUCAUGACAUUAAAGAUUUCUUGUCUGAAUCUAAUCUUAAUCUUCAAUUUUGAAGUCUUUUAUUAAUUGUUUGACUGAAUCAAAUUCUUCACUUAUUUAAUCUCCUAACAUUUUAAUUUAUCUUAUAUUUUGAGCAUUAAAACUUUUAAUUUCAAGUAUUUCAUUUGUACUUUCUAUAUCAUUUAUGGUUAAAUUAUGAUUUCCUAAUUUAUUUAAUAAACAUAGUGAAAUCCAGUUUAACUGAUUAUUUCCCCAAAAAUCAGAAUCAUUUACCAAAUUAAAUGGUUGAAAUCUUCUAUAAGUAAAUUCUCUAUGCCUACAACUAGACGGUGGAAAUUUAUAGGUUUCUAUGUUUUGUGAAAUUAUCAAUGGUUCUAUAAUUUAUUCAUAGUACCAUCUGCAUAAUAUUUCAUUAUAUGCUAACAAGUAUUUGUGACAUAUAAUAUCUCUUAUAUCGUUAGGAAUAUUGUUUUCUUCUAAUCCUUUAUAUAUAUAGCAAUAUACAUAAUAAAAUUUUUAUAUCCUAUCAGCAUGUUACUAGAAGGAUAGUAUUUACUUCUAAUCCUUUUAUUAUUCCAAUUGUAUUCAUUUCUUUGCUUAAUAGUUAAAAAUAUAUUAUAAUCAAUCACAAGUUCGUCUGUAUAAUUCUCAACAGAAUUAAUAUUCCAUUUUUUUUCAUGAAAAAUUAUUUCUAUAAACCUCUCUCCUAGUUCUCAAUAGGAGAAUAUGAUCUAUGUUUAAAUUUCUAUUCUUUAUUAUUAUGAGUUCUCCAAUUCUAAAUUCAUGAACUUGGGAUAAAUACAAUUGUUCUAAUUGUUUAUCAUCCAAUCUAUUUUGUUUUGAAUAAUAAUAUUGUGUAUGUUUAGUUAUGUUAUCCUUAAUUGUAUUACUAUCUAUCAUUAGAUUCUAUCCUCCAUUAUUUAUAAAAUAAACAAUCGUUUCUUCCAUUUUUAUAUUUUGAACCUAAAACUUGCCUUUGAUACCAAUUUUGCGAAUAUUUUUCAACCCAAAAUUCAAAUAAGGAUGUAAAUGAUUAAUUUUUAAAACUUUAUGAAUGCUUUGUAAUUUUGUUUUAUUAAAAGACAGUUUUAUGCAAAGUAUUGUGCAAUCUUUUGGAAGAUUGUCUUUUUCCGAAGUUAAAAGUAAUUCAUCAAUAUUUGACAUGUCAAACGCAGAAAUUAAAAGUAAUUCAUCAACAUUUGUCGUGUCAAAUUUACUUUAUGGAGGAGAAAUUGUAGGAACCAAUUUUAUGGGAUAGAAAAUUCUAGAAAUCCAAUCGAAAGAUAUUUAAUAAAUAAUUUUGUAGUAGAUUAUGUUAAAUAUAAUAUAUAAUAAAUCCAUGAGUUGUCACUCAUGACAAUUCAAUUAUUUAGUUUUGACUAACAAUAUUAUUACGUAUAACGUUAAUAUAACAUAGCAUGAGCCAUUUUAUAGUAUUAUUUUAACUGAAUUGAAAUUCUCGAAAUAAAAAAUUGAAAAGAAUGAACCUGGUGGUUGUUGUGAACCAAAAACAAGCCAGUAUUAUGCUUACAUCAUUCCAUUCUACAGUAAAGGUUAUUUAUAAUCAUAAUUAUAGCACCAAAUUAAUUGUAUUAUUAUAAGAGGUUAUAACUUAAUAGAUGUGUAAUUAUAAAAAUUAUUAUUUUAACUUAAUUAUUUUUAGUGCCAGUGAUAUGGAGACCAAAUAUGCACUAUAUUGAUAAUUAAUUAAUGUAGCAUGUCAAAUUCAAUUUAUAGACAAUAAUGAAAGAGAUACACAUAUUUAAAAAAACUAGUACGUAUAUUAUGUAAUAUUGGAAUUAUGCAAAUUUAUCUUGAAAGUUUAAAGAAUAAAUCAUUGUCCUAAAUAAUUUUAGAAAGUUAUUUUACUCCAUCUUAAACCUUUAAUACAACAUGGCAUUUUUUUUUAACAAUAUACCAAUAAUUAUUAUUAUAUAAAGGCAAAUUUCUUAAAAUCAUAUUUAAAAAAAUUAUAAUUCAUUAUAAUAUAGAGUUUAUUCUUAUUUAUAACUACUAGGCUUAAUAAUAGAACGAGUUGUACCCGAGCCAUGCCAAGACCUAGCCCAACCCUAUGACUAGAAUGAAGGGAUCUUUUUAUCAUUAUAAUAACUACCUUUCAUCAAUUUUUUUUUUAAAACUAUAUAAAGAUUAUUCUUACAUGAAGUAACAAUACAAGGCCCUCAUUAAGAAAUGAACCUGGACGACAUUAGGGCCUUUAUCCACAAACAAAAUUUCAAAACAUACUUAAAAAAAAAAAUCCAACACAUCCGUUAAGUACAACUUUAACAUGGUCACAUGAAAUUUGUGGGGUUAAUUUAUUUAAUUGUAUGCACCCGUUUGGUUUCAUUGAUCUCAUGGCUCAGGUUGAUAGUUAUUAAGUUAUGAGUCAUGAUUACCUAAAAUUUAUUUGGUUAUCCGUUAUUCUAAUGUUGUAUUUAAACCAUAAAACUAGAGAUAACAAAAUUUAUGAGAAGUUUUGUCUUAUCACAAUGUCUAUUACUGAAGAACGUAGUCCUCUUGAAUAACCAUGAUAAUUUAUUUAAUUUCUUUUGCUCUAUCUUAAACAUAUUAUAAUUGUAGUCAAAGUUUUGAUAGUAAAAAUAUAAAUAAAUAGAUAAAACAAAUGUGUCUAUUUCCAUAACUAAAGGGGUGUAUAUAUACAUUUGGACCAACCGAUAAAAUUUAGAUCAUGACAUUAGGUGAAAAUAAUCUUAUUUUAUUUUCUUUAGAUUAUGUUGGAGUUGUAACUUGCAAUCGAACAAUUCUCGAUUGAUUUAACAAAUGACCUUAAGGCCAUGUUUGCUUGGGGUAGAGAAGUGGGGAGAGGAAAAGAAUUUGAUUUCUUUUAUACUUUCCAUUGUUUGGUUAGACUAAAUUUAAUGGAAUUGAAUUUCCAUCAAUUUGAAGAAUUUGUAUUCCUUAUCAAUGAAUAAGGAUUUCAAAUUCCUUAUCUAUUUAAACACAAAAAUUCUAAUAUUAUCCUCUAAACAAAAUCAAUUUUAAAUAAAUGAAAGUAAAAAUAAUUUAUAUUUAUUUUCUUAAAUUAAUAGAAUAAACUUAUUUGAAAAAAGAAAAAACAGUAAAGGGACUCCCCAAAAAGUCACCGGAGUUUCGCCGGAGACGCGCUUUACCAUCAAAACCGGUACCGAUGGAAUCCUUAUGAGUCAAUCUACAACUCUAUGGGGUUAGAAAUGCUAAUAUACAUUGUUAUUUACCUCAAGUCUUAUUUAAAUGUUUGGGAAAAUUUUAACUCUCAUAUUUCCAACUAUAUAGUGUAUUUUCUUCAAAAUUAACAUUUCUAAUGAGUAAAUCAUCCAUUUAUGAUCAUUAUUAUGCAUUUAACGCGAUGAAAAAUGGAGGUCAAUGAUGGUCAAUGGCACCGGUCAAUGGUGGUUAAUGGAGGUCAACGUGGCAGCUGUCCAUGGCCAAAUGCUGUCAUUUUUAAAAAAAAUAAAAUUUUUUAUUUAAUUAGGUAAUUUUUAGAUUAAAUUAAUUCAUAAUUUUAUUAUGUUUUAAUUUAUUAACAAUAUUAACAUUAAAGAUAGUGGGUAUAUAUUUGUCCAAAUAAAAAAUAUGUAAUUUCUUUUCCUUUUAAAUUUUAUGUGAAACCAAACAAUAACAAUUAAUUUUUGUACUCUUUUCCUCUCACCACCUCUCCAUUCCUCUUUUUUUUUUUUUUUUUCUCCUCUCCUCUCCUCCCAUUUCUUAAAACCAAACACCUCCUUCUUAGGAGGUGUUUGGUUUUGUAAAAUGAAAAAUUCUAUAAAUAUGAUUUUGUUGAAGCCUUAAAUAAACCAUACAGUCUGUGCCGCGUAGAAUGGGAUACAGAAUUUUGUAUUUAGCUUGCAUGCAAAAUGCAACAUGCUUACGUGUGUCUAAUUUUCUAAAUAUCUCAUCCAUGCGGCAGCUAGCUUAGCCUUUUUAUAUUGAAUAAUUGAUCAUACAAGUGUAGUUUGUUAGUUUUACGCAACCCACGUAAAUCAAUUUUAUUACGCAAGAAUUAUUGAGAAAUCGCAAAUUAAGUUGAACUGGUCCAUGGUCAGAUGGUCUCGUCUCGUCUCGUCUCACCACUUGGUAUUGAUGCCAUGGGAAAAGAGUAGUUGGUUACUUGAUUUUUUAGACUUGGGGUGGCAUUGAAAAAGAUUGUUGAAAAGGAAUCGAGUGAAUCAAAUCGAAUUAGUUUGUCUUUCUGUACAAUACAUCCCCCAUUAUCUAGCUUAUUCAGUCUUGAGAAUUAUUAUCUGAUUUUGAUCCCCCAUUUAAACUUUUUGCCAAGACUAUCCUAGAAAUUGAUUUGUUUAUCAUUGCUUCUUGGUCCUUACGGUCUUUUAUGAAUCACAAUCAAUUUAAUCAUACAUAAAAAUACGGGUACAAGCUGGUUAGCUUACACGCUUCCUAUAUAAGAAAGGUACGGGAAUCAGAUUCAAAAUAUCCAUCCAUUCAUAAUUUAAAAAAAAAAAAAAAAAACUCCGGAAUUGAACUGAACGAGUUUCAGACAUGGCAUCGAAAUCCAAGAUUCUAUCCAUCGGCGGGACAGGGUAUAUCGGUAAAUUCAUCGUGGAAGCAAGCGUUAAAGCUGGUCACCAGACACCAGACGUUCGUGCUCGUGAGAGAAUCCACACUCUCUGAUCCCUCCAAAUCUCAACUCCUCGACCACUUCAAAAACCUCGGCGUCAAUUUCGUUAUCGUGAGUUAUCAUUUUUUUAUUUUUUUAAUUCCAUUAUUUUGACCCGUGGCAGUGUAGUAUCUACUUGAAAGACUUAGUAUUUUUAUUUUAUUUUAUUUUAUUGGGUGCCGUUAUUAUUAUGCAGGGAGAUGUUUUGAAUCAGGAGAGUUUGGUUAAGGCGAUAAAACAAGUGGACGUGGUGAUAUCAACAGUUGGUCACACUUUAAUAGCCGAUCAGGUCAAGAUUAUUGCUGCCAUUAAAGAAGCCGGCAACGUUAAGGUAUGACAUAAUUAUAAAUAUCUUGGAUCAGGAUUGUGCACUUGCGCACACGUGGUGAUUUAUUAUUGGCGUGGAGCUCGUUGUAGACUAGAGCUCCCUGUUCCGCCAAUAAACACCCGCUACAUGCACAAUUGCGCCCUCAAGAUAAUUUAAUUAACUAAUUAAUUAUAAACACCUAUGGCGUGAAUGCAACUAAAAGUAGCUGAUGUUUGUAAAUUAUUUAUUAUUCAGAGAUUCUUCCCGUCGGAAUUUGGGAUUGAUGAUGAUCGAAUCCAGGGCGCCGUAGAGCCAGCAAAAUCAACGUAUGUCGUAAAGGCGAAAAUCCGCCGAGCCGUUGAGGCAGAAGGCAUUCCGUAUACUUAUGUAGCAUCGUACUGUUUGAAUGGCCACUUCCUUCCCAAUUUGUCGCAGCCUGAGGCCACUGCCCCCCCUAGGGAUAAGGUCGUCAUCUUAGGUGAUGGAAAUCCAAAAGGUAAAAUAAAUUAAUUAAGCUCAUUGUUUUUAAUAAGAUUGUUGAAAAUAACCAUGUUUAAGGCUCCGUUUGUUUGGUAUAUGUUGCGAUGUUAGUGUUAUGGCCUAUUGUAGAAUGGAUGGUCUAGCAACUUAGUGUCUAUUUGGUACUGUUGUUGGAGAUUUUAAGAUAGAGUUUUAAGUGAUUACCAGAUACUGAACUGCCAUAUCAUGGCUGCCACACAACAAUUUCAAACAGAGCCUAAAUAACUUCAUUGCAAAAUAGUUAAAUGAAUCUAACUUAGUUUGGUCAUUUGAUUUUCAGCUGUUUAUAACAAGGAAGAUGAUGUUGCAACCUUCACAAUCAAAGCGGUUGACGAUCCGAGAACCUUGAACAAAAACCUUUACAUUCAGCCUCCCGGCAAUAUUUAUUCGUUCAAUGAUCUUGUGUCUCUGUGGGAGAGAAAGAUUGGCAAAACCCUCGAAAGGGAGUAUGUUUCAGAAGAGCAGCUCCUAAAGAAUAUUCAAGGCUAGUUAAAACUCUCACUUCUAAAUGUUAUUAAAGAAAGCCGCGAAUUUUUGCCUUAUUGAUCCUGUCUUCUCCAAAAUGUUGCAGAAGCUGCACCUCCACUCGGGAGGUUGUUAUCAAUUUAUCACUCUGCUUUCGUGGAGGGAGUUCAAACGGACUUCAAGAUUGAACCAUCGUUUGGAGUUGAAGCCUCGCAGCUUUAUCCUGAUGUCAAGUACACUACAGUUGAUGAGUACCUCAAUCAGUUUGUGUAACCCUUCUCUGCUUCCAGCUGCAGCUUGCAGGAUCUUGGACUCUGGGUAAAUAAAUAAUGGGCUUGUUGCAAUCUUUGGUUUUUAUAUGUAAAAAUUAUGGUUGUUGGCCUUACUUUCUUCUGGUUGUCAAUGGAAUUUGUAAGACCAUUUUAUGUUUGCUAUGUCAGUGAUCAAAUGAAGUAGGCCAUGUACUUGAUCUGAGAAUAAUUAUAAAGCCAACAUGGUCAGGUGAGUGCGUCUGUGGGGCUUUUAUUAGGGUGCGUGUGUGAGGCUUCUGAGGGGCUUGUGAUAUGGGGUCUACAGCCCCUAAUGGGCACGCGACUGCGUGCACUAAAUGAAGUUAUUAUAAAAAUAAUUAUAGAGUCACCAAGGCAAAAAUUAAAAGUAAUUUGCCAAUAAAAAUAGUUAAAAGUAAUAAAAAGUAGGUAUUAUAUUUCAAAAAUCAAUUUUUCAUUAAUGUUUAUAAGAUUAAAUUUGUUCUUAUCUUUCCUUAAUAAACACAAAAAUUUAUCGUUUUGGACUAAUUAAAAUUUUAAAACUAGCUAACAAGCAAACCGCCAUUAAUUUUUUUUUUUCCAUUUCUUUAAUCAUUCUUUUUUCUCUUUUUGACCUUUUUCUUUUUCUUUUCUUCAGUCCUUAUUUUUCUUUUCUUUUUUGGUUUUCCUCUAAACUCUUUAAGAAAGGCUGCCAAGCCUUGAAAAUAUCUCAAAAAAUAAGAUUUUCUUUCUUAAGAUUAACAUUUUAACCACAAAAAUAAAACUCUAGUCCAAACAUUGAGCACUUACAAAUCAAACGAUAAAAACCUCUUAUUAGUACAUUAACCGUAAAAUAAAAAAGAAUUAUCACAAAUAUUGAAAUGUUGUUGUUUGAUGCUUGAGAUUCUUGAAAUGUAUGCAGAAUUCCGACAAUAUUUUGUUGAAGCAACUCUCGGAAACUUGUUUGUUGAGAUUGAUGAAGAGUCCAUGGCAAGUAACCAGGCAUAUUGCAAUCCUUGUAAUUAUUCUGACCGAGAACAAUAAAACAAAAAGUGAAAACUGAAGAAAAUGAUAAGAAAACAAUAGAAUAAUAAUAUUAAAAACUCGCUAAUCUUGCCCAAUUUUUUUUUUUUUUGGAUAAUGUUCAGCGUAUACUAGAAUCUUUUAGAGCAGAAGCAAAACAGCAACAACUUUUCAAGAAAAGAAAAAAAAAAAGAAUUAUUAAAGAAAAUGGAAAAAAGAAUUAACGGCAGUUUAUUUGAUAGCUUUUAGAUAGCCAAAACCGGUGAGUUUUUGUGUUUUAAUAAGGAUAGUUAGGAAUAAAUUUAAUCCUCUCUAUAGAAUCAUUUAGUUACUAUGUGUCAAAAUCUCCUGUAAAGAAUAGGAAAAAUUAAAUUAGAAGAGGAUCCAAAUCAGGACUUGACUAGCUUACAGAAUCUGUAAGCUACGGACUGCAGCAUCAGCCGUUGGAUGUGGUUGGAUGUGGAGUGAGAAAUUAAACAAUAGAAGAUCGGAUGGUGGGAUGACGGGAGAUGUUUGUUACAGAAUCUGUACCAUAGACAGGUCCUCCAAAUCAUCAACAUCUUGGAAUAAACAAAAGAAUCUAAACAAAAGAAACUCGUUUUGCGUGUGAACCAGUUCAAGAUAAAGAGCAGACUAUUGGAAAGAGACAAAUACUACAAGAAUAACAAAACAUUCUACAGUUACUACAUAAGCCUGCAACAAUUAAUUAUUAACUCAAGAUUUAUUACACUUUUUCUUUAAUUUGACAAAGAAACCAAAAAUGAAAUAAAAUUGACAACAGCAAUGAUAUGCUUACAACAAUGAGUAUGAAACUUAGUACAACAAGGACCUUUUUGCUAAUUUUUUCAAAUUUUUAUGAUAUUUUAGAAUUUAUGGGUUUUAUUGAUUUUGAUAAAUUGGAGCAUUUCUCCAUUCAUCUUUUCUGCAUCUAUCCCUAAAUUUCUUAUCUUUGUAAAGUUUUAACUAUGUCUUUGUAAAGUUCUAAAUGAUUAUCUCGUUCAUAGAGAUCUAUAGUUAAAUUAAUUCUUGUAUUUAUAAUCAUUUGUCUCCUUUGAGACAUAGACCAAAUUUUUUCUUCUAACAUUCCUAUGUAUAUUCCUAAGCUAUAUUUCCAGCUUAGGUACAUCUUAUCUAGGAUUUCACAAAUAAAUUGUAAUUUGAGAUCUGCAUCUUGAAUCAACAUCACCAUAUUAUUAUUAUUAUUAUUAUUAUUAUUAUUAUCCAUUGUUUUAUACUCGAUUUUGGGUUCUAUUACUAGUCGCACUUGUCUUGGAUUAUUUCAAGGCUAGAUAGAAUUGAUUCUAUUAAUGCUAUCCUGUUUCCUUCUUCAAAUGAAUCGAAUAUUUUUGGAUCAAUAAUUCUUUUCAUUUCUUCAUACAAGUGUUUGCUUGUAAUUAAUCUAGUUUUAACUAUGGAAAUUGUAUAAGCAACUUGAUAUUCUUGACUAAAGUCUAGAUGAUCAAUUGCGUCUAGAAAUUUAUUAACAGAUCUUUCCAUUUUUAUGAAAUUGAGUUACUUUUAUCACUUCCUAUCUUAUAACAUUUCAGAAUACAAACAAGGCCCAACAUGCUUCCAUUUGUUGCUAAAAUAAAAGAAUAGAGUUCAAGAUUACUAACCAGUGUACAUUUCUCGGAAUUCUAAGAUAGAUUCACUAAUUGCCUCCAACCAUAGAGAGGUCUAUGGUUAACUCCGCCAUAGCUCCACACAUCAUAUAAGAUCACUUCAACGACUGUUACAUAGGCCCAACGCAACAUAUAGCAAACGGGCCUAAAAGAAUAUGUCUAAGUGAUUUGCUUACAGCUGUCUCUGGAAGAGUGCUUAGUAGUAGAAAAUCUUCUUCCUUUAGCACAAGUAUUGGCAUGUAAGGUUCUUGGUUAUUUUCUAAGAGUAUAUAAGAUAUCUGGAAGAUGACAAUUUCGCUCAAAAGAGUUUUAUUUAUUUCAUCAUUGAAAUUAUUUACAGAGGAUGGUUACAGAGAAUACAGGUGUAGGUGUAGGUGUAGGUGUAGGUGUAGGUGUAGGUGAAGGUUAGGCAUGUGAUGUCCUUCCCUUCUUACAUGUUUCUAUUUAUAAUCUUAAAUAGAUAAGGUUAUCUCUUUUACAUGACACUUGUUUAAUUCUCUUGGUGGAUUGUGGAUUCUUUCCUGAUAAGGUGACCCUUCUUCUUUUUAUCAUUAAAGACAGUGGUUGUCUUCUUUUCCUGGUGGUAGACAGCCUUUAUCUGGUUGUAGUGUGCUUUAUCUUUUUGGAAUCUUUCUUUUUGAAUUAUUAAUGCUUUUAGGAUAGCACCUUUUAUCUUUUCCAAUGGUUCCUGUCACAUGCCAAGUAUCAAAUCUUCCUCUAGUGACAUGUCUUCCCCACUAGAAUCCUUUUUUGAUCCUUCGUAGCAGUAGCCACAUGAUGACUGAUGUUUUAGCACCUUGCAUACCUCGUGAUGUGUCAGUAAGCUGGAUUCCACGAGAUUUUCAUAUAUUGCCUUUUUCUUUUUUGAUAUGGCCUGUCUGGCUAAAAUGCUUUCUUUUCUACUUAUAGAAAAGAUUAUAUGCUCCUUUGUGGCUUCGUGGAGCCAUAUUUUUUCCUCACUUAUCCUCUCAAGAGAUUCAUAGAGGACUUUCAUUCCUACGGCUCUUUUGCUGGUGAGAGCUUUGGGUUCGAAAAAUUCAGGAUCAUAAUCAUUAUAGACUUGAUCUAUAUCAAUAGUUGGACUAACUUUUUGCUGCUAAUUCUAACUUAAAUCAUGUGCUGUGCUACCACUUGUUUUCACCGUAUUAAGGGCAAGCAGUGAGGAUCUUGAUAAAAAUUAGUUCUUUUGUUUUGGAUAUCCUUUUGUGGUCAUUAACAGCCUCUGUAUUUUUUUCUAGGAGCUCUUUUAUUUUCCUACAAUCAUCACGGACAUAAACAAGGUUAAGAAAACCGUAUUCAAACAUGUCUUUUAUCAAUUUUGGAUAAGCUCCUAGCACAAAUUUUAUCCUUGGGUAUAACCCUGAAUGAUAUGGUAUUAUAGUCUGGUUAUGAUGAAUCACAUAAGUUAUUUUACCAAUUCUUUUAUAAUUAUAAGCGUUGUCGCUUCCUAAUGGAUUUUUAACCAUAGGAACAGACUGUCCGCUUUUAUUAUAUUGGGGCCUUAAGCUCACUGAAGACCUUUGAGAUUCUUCUUUCUUCAUAUAUUAUUCUUUGAGAUCAUUGAUUGUGAGAAAUUUCUCUAGAUGUGUGACCUUUGAGUUCUGUGAAGAACUCUGGGCAAUCUGAUCCUUAGUUUGAUCCUUAAAAUGGACCUUUUUUUAGCAUAUUACUAAUAGAUUGUUAUGAAAUUUGGACUUCUGGAUGAUUUUGCAAACUUUUCUAUAGGCAAAGUUUGCUCAAUUCUUCAUGGGCAUCAUCUAUCAUGGCAAGCCUAUUAUAAAUUAUACCAUUGCCUUUGAGAAGCAAUUCUUGACCUUCAGAGCACAUUAUUAUGCCCUUAAUUAUUUUGGAAAGACCCUUCUCCAUUGUAUUCUCGGCUAAGAAAAUUUGCAAUAGAAUUGUUAGAUCCUUUAAUAUAUUCAAUUUCAAAAUCAUAUUCAGCAAAAAAACCGUUGCCAUUUAAUUAAUCUUUUAUAUUAAGGGAGAUUAGGCAAUUUAUUAAAUAUAAAUCCUUUAACUCGAGUGUUAUCAGAUCUUACCUUGAAUUUCUUUGGUAACAAAAAAAAGUAAAUUUAGCUAUUCCAUUUUUAAUAGUUAACAGUUCAUUUUCAUUACUAUGAUAAUUCUUCUAUGCGGGUUUGAAUGUUCUGGUGGCAUAUCUACAAAUCUUUUCUUGAUCUGUUUUUAAGACUACACCCCAGUAAUUAUCUGAAGCAUCGGUCUCAAGAAUUAAAUUAUCACUAGAAGUAGGGAAUCCUAAUCUUGGAAGAUUUUUACAUUUUUCUUUCGAUUUUUUUACUACUUUGGUAUGGAGAUCUUUCCAUGAUUUAGUAUUAUUCUUUUUUAAUAAUCCUUGUAAAGAUUGUCUUUCUUUAGCUAAGUUUUCUAUGAAACCUUCAGCAUAAUUAAGAUAUCCUAAAAAUAUUUGAAUUUGUUCUUUAGAUUCUAAUUUAUUUGGGAAUAGAUAUAUUUUCCAAAAAUAUGAGGUUGCAUCUCAAUUCCUGUUUCAUCUAUUAUUAACCCUAGAAAUUCUAUCUUGAGUUUCAUUAUUUCAGCUUUCUUUUUAGGGAGUAAUAUUCCAUGUUUCUUGCAUUUCUCUGCAAAAGAAACGAGAUGAUUAAUAAGAUAUAUCUUAUUAUCUGAAAAUAUAAAAAUAUCAUCUAAAUAAACAAUGUAGAAUUCAUGAAAUUCUUUGAAGAUUUGAUCCAUCCUUCUUUCAAAUAUUUUUGGUGCAUUUUUCAAUCCAAAAGGCAUUACAAUCCAUUCAUAUUAUCCUUGAGGUGUACUAAAGGCAGUAAGUGGUAUACUUUCUACUUUAAGUUUGAUAUGUCAAAAUCCAGAUUUGCAAUCAAACUUGCUAAAUGUCUUUUUAUCGGUCACGGAGAUAAUUAAUGUAUCUUUAUAAGGUAAAAAAUAUCCAUUGAAUUUGGUAUAUUUAUUUAAUUCUUUGUAGUUAAUAACCAUGCGAGCUUUUCCUCAUUUAAUUUCUACAUGAUUUCUAACCAUAAAGGCUGGACUACUAUGAGGACUUUUAGAUUUCAAAUAAUCUUAAGUUCUAAUAACUCUUCAAUUUUUUUUAUCAAAUUCUUGUCCAUGUUCUUGCCCAUCUCUCAUAGGCUUAACUCUUAUGAUACCAUUUAGAUCUGUUAAUUCGAUCUUAGCAUAUGUUUAAUCAAUUUCUCAUAAUUGAAUUGGGUUUUCACCAAAAUUUUUAUCAAGUUUUUCUAAAAUUUUUUCAUAGUCUAACAUGAUUUGAAUGAUUUUUAUAGUGUAAUCAACACACUGACUGUGUCGAAAAUGUAAUUUUUGAGUUGUGCGCCUAACAAGGUUAUAAAUUCUCGGGGUAGUAAUGGAAUGAUUACAUGGUGUUUUGAGAGUAAUGGCUUCAUUAGUCAUUAUAUAAAUGAAUUGACGAAGGAAAUUAACUCCUAAAAGUAUAUAUGUUCCCAUAUGAUCAUAAGACCAGAAUAUAGGGAUACUUAAGAUGUAAUCUUCGAUUUGGAUUAAAGUCUUAAUCCUACAAGUCCCUAAGGUGAUCUGUUCAUCAUUUGUUCCUUAUCCUUUUAAAGGCUUAUAAUCUUUCCAAUAUGGUUUUGGAUAAAUCCUAGAACUGGCAAAACUAACUCCUAAACCAGUAUCGAUUAAAGCAUAAAACCAUUCCAGUUUAUGUUUAUAAUAUGGUAUAAUCACUUUUAUAUAAAUUAUAAAAGGAUUAGACAUAUCUUGAUAUGGUUUGCUUAAUUCCUUCAAUUGUUAUACUUAUUUCUCUAUCUCCUGUACAAUAAGGAGAGAAAUUCUAAAGAAAGUUCAUCCCUAAUAAUAAAGGAUUUAUUUCUGUUUCAUAAUAUGGUUCUAUGAAAAAAGGAAAGAUGAAUUUUGUUCCUUUUAUUUUUAAUGGUAUUUUACAAUAUUUUCUUAAUGUCUUUCUUUCUCUAUUAAAUCCUACAUAAGUAUGAGGUUCAAUUAGAAUUUUUCUUUCUAAAUAUUUAAUCAUUUUAGCAUCUACAUAAGAUUUUGUAGCUCAUGUAUCAAGGAUAGCAAAAGUCUCGUGCCAUGAUUUUCCAUUAUUAUAGUCAAUCUUAAUUUUUAGAUUUUGAUUAUUUUUUCUAAUUGUGGCUAAUAUUUCAUGUGAUGGUGGUGUCACAAGAUGACUACAUCUAGUAAAACUUUGGGUUCCUCUGAAUUUUGGUUCUCUUUUGGGUAUAGAGAAUGAUCUUUUAUGUCUUAUAAUGAUUCUUCCUUCUGGAGUAUAUUCUAUAGAUUUAGUAGUAUUUCCUUUAAUCAGAGUAGGUUGACUACUUAGAUUCAUUUUCCAUUCUUAUGAUAAAUAUAUUUCUCUCUGGAUUUCAGGAUAUUUUAUAUUUCUAACUUUACUAAAUAAUUUAUCUAUUUCAAUAAAAUAUUUAUUAGCAAACAUUUCACUAUUUGCUGAAUUUGUUAAUGCAUAUUUUAUGGCAUACAUUAUGCUAUAUGGAUAAGACCCCUCAUGCAUUAUAUCAAAGUAUUUAAAAUCAUGACAUAAGGUUAAUGUUUUAUUUAUAUUUCUAUCCCUAAGACUUAUAGAAUAUUUAGGAUAUAUCUUAAAUAUCAAUUUUUUAUAACUCAAGUUUCCUUGUAUUAUUCUAGGGACUGCAUGUUUUCGAUCUUGUAUUCUAUUAUCUAGUACUGCUAAAAUUAUUGGACUAUCUAUUCCUUCCCGAAAAUGAGCUUUUAUCAUAAACUGAAUUCCUCCAAUAUGAUCAUAUCCAAUUUUGGGUCUAUUGCUAGAUUUUAUCUUACUGAUUUUAUCUUCUAUAUCAGUCUUUAAUAAUAAUGGUAUAUUUGUAUUUCCCUUAGCAUACCUAAUUUCAAUAUGUUCUUCUCACACAGUAGCACUGAAAUACAUAACAUUUUUUCUUUUAAUCAUGGUGGCAAUUCCUAGAGCUAACUUAUUGACUGAAGUCAAGGAUGAUUCUAAUCAUUUUUUUGUUAAUCUUGAGGUAUUGUUUUUUUUUUUUAUCAAAGAUUAAUUCUUUGUUAAAAGAACCUUGUUCUUCUAAUUCUUCAUCUUGAUAUAAAUGCUUAUUAUCUAAUUCUUCUAUACUCAUUCCAAAUAUGAUUUUGAAUCUGAGCUACUUAAAGUUUCUUCAGAAAGAUAAUAUAUGCUAUCACUUUCACUAAUACCUUCACUAUCUGUGAUUAAUUCUAAAUCAUUAAAAUCCUCAAACAUUUUUAUAUUUUCUUUUUUCUUUUUAGGACAUUCAUUUGUAUAAUGCCCUUCUUCAUUACAUAACCACCACUUGCAUUCUUUAACUACAUUGGUUUUAAAUCUUCUUUUAAAUUUAUUUUUCUUGUAGAAUUUCUUCUUAUAUUUAUUUUUCUUGUAAUAUUUCUUGUUGCCUUUAAAGAAUCUCUUCUUUUUGAAUUUAUUCCUAUAUUUAUAAGUUUUAUCUGAACAUCCAAAUCUUGGUGGAUCUUCUAACUUAGAGCAAAACAAUCCUUGAUUUAGCCUUUUCAUAAGUCUGUUAUCUCUUAUUUCAGCACACCAUUCACUCAUUCUAUUUCGAGCAAACCUAAUCUUAUUUCCUAAGGUAUCAGUCUCUGUUGUAUCUUCAUAUUUGUUGUUAUAUUCUAGCAUAAUCCUUUUCUCCCAUGGGUCUGGUAUCCUUAUAAAAUAUAGAUCUUAGUAAUAGCAUAUGCUACUUUCAUCUAAUUCACAUUUAUAAUAUAAUUCUUCAAAGCUACACGUGUAUUCUUCUAAAUAACAUAUAUUACAUAUUUCAAGCCUUGUUAGUUUUAUUACAUUUUCCAUCUUUUUUUCACUUUAUUUCUUAUUGAAAACCAGUUUCUCAAUCUUCUCCUAGGAAUUUUUUUCUUAUUUCAUUUUCAAAUCUAUUUAAAACUUGAUCCAAGCUUUCAUUUUGAUUAUUAUUUUCUCCAUACAAUAUUUUAUUUUUGUUAUUAUCGUUUAGUCCCAUAAACGAAUGUGACACUAUUCCUACAAAUGAAGUUUUAAGGAAUUCUAUACUAUUAUUCCUAUCUAUUUUGUUAAAUACAAAUGCCGUUUUCAUAGAUUUAACCCAAGCGAUAAUCGUUUUAUCUCUAUCUUUGACAUAGUCUAAAUCUAACCAUACUCCAUCAUGGUUGAUUGGUCUCUCUCUAUAUUUUCCUGGAGUUUUAUAAUUUUUUUAGGCUUGUUAACCCUAAAAUAUUGAUGUUGUGAUCUUUCAUGAGCUAGUAUUUCUUCUCUAGUAUAGGAAGCUCUAUUACUAGAUUCUCCUUGUUAAAAAACCGUUGGUUUUGAUUCAUUCAUUUUUAAUUGUUCUAUUCUAUUUUCAAUAUCUCAUAAGUUAAUGAGUACAUCCUCUUCCUCUUCGGAUUUAGAUUCUUCAUUGGAUAUUUCUGGAUUGUAUAAUUCUUUUAAUCCAUUGUCUACAUUUUCACUUAGCAUCCUUAAACUUAUUAAUUUUUUAUCUUAGUUUUUUGUUAAAUAUUGUCUAGAUAUUGCUAUCAUUUCUUUAUCUUUCUUUUCGUUGUAGUAAAUUAUGGUGUCUUGUAAGGUUUUAUUUUUUUUUCUUGAAUUACCAUGAGUAAUUCUUCCAUAUUGUUAUUUAUCUUUUGUAUUUCAAUCCUUUUGUAGUUUUCUAUGAAAAAUUAUUUCUAUACACCUCUCUCCUAAUUCUAAAUAGGAGAAUAGGAUCGAUGUUUAAAUUUCUAUUCUUUAUUAUUUUGAGUUCUCCAAUUCUAAAUUCAUGAGCUCUAGAUAAAUAAAAUUGUUCUAAUUGUUUAUCAUCUAAUAUCUCAAGUUUUGAAUAAUAAUAUUGUUUAUGUUUAGUUAUGUUAUCCUUUAUAGUAUUACUAUCUACCAUUAGAUUAUAUCCCCUAUUAUUAAUAAAAUAAACAAUUGUUUCUUCCAUUUUUAUAUUUUGAACCAAAAAUCUGGUUCUGAUACCGUUUUUGCAGACAAUUUUCAAUCCUAAGAUCCAAGUAAGGAUGUAAAUGAUUAAUCUUUAAAAUCUUAUGAAUAUUUUACAAUUUUGCUUUUUUAAAACACACAGUUUUAUGCUAGGUGUUGUGCAAUCUUUUGUAAAAAUUCAUGAACCAAUACUAUAUUGACUUCUCCUAAAAUGCAUAGGUUUGUUAUGAAAUUCUAAGUGUACAACCCAAAAAGUGGGGUGAAUUGGGUUUUUAAAAAUUUAAGCAAUUAUAACCACACAAAAAUUUCAAUUAAUGUCUUAUUUGAUUCAAUAACAAUAAUUUUAACAAUGAAUAAAGUAAAGAGAUGAGGGAGAAGAGAGCAAACAUGAGAUUUUUACAUGGUUCAGCAAAACCUGCCUACGUUGACGCCUCCAAGCUCACUAUGCUUGAAGAUUUCACUAUCCAAGCAUUACAACCCUAAGGCUUCAAGAUGCUUACAAUUGAUUUCUAAGGUUUCCAUGGACCUUUACAUCCAGAGGUUCUCUCAAACCUCUUAACCAAGUGUUUCUCACACUUACAACCACUUAAUUGUGAUAUUGAAAAAAAGUUACACAAAUUUUCCACUCACACAAUAUAUGUGUUUACAACUAAAAGCCUAGAGUGUGUUUCAAUGAAAGAAUAAAAACAUUUAAGCUCAAGACAGAUUAAACAUGCAAAAGUAAGCUCAAUGCCAAUUUUUGAAUUCGUUAUUGAUUGAAUAUGAUUAAUCCUUUUGAUAGUUGGAGCUGAAAACUAGCCGUUAUUGACUUUCUGCACAAGGUCGGAUCAUCGUUAAUACUUAUCGGACUGCUGUUUUGACUUGAUCAAGUUACCGUUAGGCGAAAAUCUAAAUUUUCGGAUCACCAUUUUCGAGACAUUGAAUUGUUGUUAGUUUCUAGUAACAUUGCGAGAAAAUAGUUGGCUUACCGUUUUCAAAAUGUCAUAUCGUCGUUAGUUUCCAAAUCCAUUCGAUGUCGGUUAGCCAUUUGCUACAUUAACUGCUACAUUGAAACUAUUUUUUAAAAUUAUAUUUUUGCCAUGCUUUCUAUAAUUAUACUGUAGCCCAAAUCUUCAUAAUACUUUACAAAUAGGUCCAUUUUCAGAGUUUCAAAACAUACUUUUUAUUUCCAAAACUUUAUGAAAUUAUACUAUAACCCAAAAAUAUAUAAAAUAUUUCAAAUAGGUUCAUUUCUAGAAUUUUAAAACAAUACUUGUUGAUUUCAAAGUUCUCAAAACUUUUUAAAUUUAGAGCAUUAACUUCAAAAUAACCAAUUUCAUAAAAUCAUUUUUUUCAUUAAGAUUUAUGAAAAAUGACUUGAGCUUUUAAAUGCUUAAGCAUGCAUAUAUUUAAUCAUACUAGCUUUACAAGAAAUGUAACAAGAGAAAUCACCUAAGCUAGUACCUCUAAUGCUUGUUCUUGACUUAGUGAGCUUUUUACCUUCGUCUAUUUGAGUGCCUUGAACUUGAUCACACACACACACACACACACACACACACACACACACACACACAUAUAUAUAUAUAUAUAUAUAUAUAUAUAUAUAUAUAUAUAUAUCAUUUUAUCCUUUUAUCCUUAACACGUGGUUUGUUAUUAUCAAAACCCAAGUUCGUACAACCGCUUAGGCCAACAUGUUACUCCCAAUCAAUUGACUUCUGACAUGACUACUUCCAAAAUGGCUAGUACCAAAAGGGAAUCCUUCUGGGAUGAGAAUUGAAAAACAUGCCUCUUCUAGCACUAAAAUUACUCCUUCCACCUAUAUUUCCACUAUAAUGUCCUUAAAAUCCUCCGGCAUAUCCACCUCUUUUAGUAUUGCCUCCUAUUUGUGCAUGAUAGUAAUUAAUUAUGCCAUAGUUAUUAUGGUUAGCAAAGUUAGCACAAUUUGCAUUGAAUAUGUGUUUUUCAUUAUGACUUUGUUCAAGUCUUGCCUCUUGAGUAAGCAAUAGAGCAUACGCACCAUCAUAAUAUAACUUGCUAGCAGUAAUAAAAGUAGAUAAAUGCAGAUGGCUAGCUCCAAAACUAUUGAGAAUUUGUUAAACAUAUCUUUAUCAGAAAUAGGACUACCAACACAUGUCAAUUUAUCUGCUAUUUAUUUAAUCUUUAAGCAAUACUCUUCUAUGCUUAGUGACUUUUUUUCUCAAAGCAUUCAUCUCAUAUCUCAUUUGAAGAAUCCUACCCUCAUAAUGUUGCCUAAACUUUUUCUGUAAUGUUUUUCAUACAUCAAGUAAGGUGUUAUAAGAAUGAACAAGACCGAGAAUACCUUCAGUGAUAGAGCUGAGUAACUAGCUAAGUAAUGUGUGAUCUUGAGAUCUCCAAACAAUGAACUCAGGAUUUUCAAUCUGUUAAGUAGAUGCAGCAACUGCUCUAGCAUAGCUGAUGAAUCAAUGAAUUGAUUUGGUGCUUCAUUUUCUCUAGUUAUGUAUCCUUCGGUUUCCUCUUAUAAAAGCUAGAACUUGAUUUUGCCACAGCAUGUAAUUUGAUCAAUCGAAUGUGAUUGGAGUGAUGAAACAGAAUGUUGUUUGCAUUGAUUGAUUUGUAGAGAUUGCAAUUGAAUUUGUGCUUACAUUGCUUGAGCUUGCCAUUUUGGCUCAGAUACCAUGAAUAAAUUAUUGGAAGUUGAGUUAUAGUUGCUGUUUAACAGCUGAGAAAAUAGAGGAAAAUUCUCUGGAAAUUCUAAAUGUUUCCUAUUGAGCAAACGAAAGAUUAACAUACUAUAUAUAUACAAGUUUCUAAAUUGUUUCUAGCUAAUUUACAGUACAGCUAAUCAAUAGAUUUGAUCCAAAGUAAAACUAAUUAGUUUCACACAUAAGGAGCACGUGAAUCCAUCAUCGUUGCAUAAUCGAACAUGUUGACUUAGCUGCUGACUUGGCAUUGACAGCUGAUUUGCUUCUUUUUUGUAACUCUGGAUAGUGUGCUUUCUUCACAAGUUUCCCCAAAUCUCCAUUAUGUACAGCUUCUGCAAAAAUUUCCUAACCAAACCAUUUAUUUGUAAUUUCCUCUUGUGUUGGCCCUAUGCCAUCAUCAAGUGGUACCGUGAGAGGAUUUCCAUCUAGAUUACCCUGAUCUUUGUCUGAAUCAUAACUAGUAUGCAUAGUGUUUUCAUCCUCAUCACCCUGCGCAGCCAAAACAAAAUGCUUAACAUUACAUAUACAGUAAAACCUCUCUAUAGUCAUAUUGUUGGGAUUAAACUAAUUUUAUUAAUAUGAAGAUGUUAUAAACUUAAUGGAAAUUCAGUGACAAAUCUAUUGAUUAGCUGUGCUACUUUGAUAAUUAAUUAAUGAAGCAUGUCAAAUCUAAUGCAUUGACAUUGAUAAAAGAGGUAAACAUAUAAUUUAAAAAACUAGUACUUAUAUCUAUCAUCUGUGUAGUAUUGGGAACAUGCAAAGUCUUCUUAUUGAAAAUCUAAAGAAUAAAUUAUUAUCCAAAAUAAUUUCAGAAAAAUAUUAUAUUUCAUCUUAAAUCUUUCAUGUAACAUAGCAAAUUUUUUUUUUUUUUGCUCAAUAUACAUAUUAGUAAUACUGUGUGGAUGCGUGUUCCUUAAGAUAUGCUCUAUAAAAGUUGUUAACUUAUUACAAUGUGAAGUUUGUUCUUAUUUAUAAUUGGCUUAAAGCAGGAAUAAGAUUUUUUGUGACUAUUGGACGUUGUUCUUAUAAAAUGUAUCACUACAGAGAGAUUUUAUUAUAAUUCUAAACCGAGAAAAGAAAGUGUAAUCCUAAUAAAUCACCAUCGAUUAGAGCUAUAAUGAAUUAAGCUUUACAAAGAAGAAGAAGAAAGAUUACAAUGUGAAGGCAACAAGAAUCAUGACAAAGUGAGAAAAAGAGAGGCCACAUAAGCCCCAAGGGAAAUUGAGAUUUUAUAACACAGCCUAAUUGCAGAAAGCAUAGGCGAAAAACAGGUGCUUGAUUGCAAACAUGCACACGCGCGCGCGCACACACAAUUUGACCACAAAGACCGCAUACCUUUGAGAGUUGGUCCUCUGGGGCAUAGGCAUUUUUCGCACGUUUUCGUGCUUCCUCCUUUUAUGGCCACGUAGUUUUCGUAAGCUUGAUCAAGAAACUCCUCCAAUUGUUCAUCAUACCUAACACCAAAAAAAUGUCAUAAGAUCACAAAGGCAUAAGUUGAUAGAUAUAUUUGUCAAGAUAAUGCGACAGAAGAUAUAGGUAGAAAAGAAUUACUUUCUGCAUUCUUUAUCAGAGUCACUGUCACUGGACAAUUGCUCUUGAGUGUCUCUAUCGGGUCUCUCAUCUUCACAGCCCUCUGCAGUAGCAUUCUCAUCAUCAUCAUCAUAUUCAACAGCAGCAAGAUCUUUUUUACCCUAAACCGAUCAUUCAAGUUUAUAAAAGAAUGAGAUACUUGCCUUAGACCACACUUUUGAAUUGGAAAAAACUAAUAAAUCAAAAUUGCAACUAAUAUUGUCCUACCCAGCCAUUUUUCAUUUAUCCUGAUGUCAAGUACACUACAAUCGAUGAGUACCUCAGUCAGUUUGCGUAACCCUUCUCUGUUGAGUUGUAGCUUGCAGGAUAUUGGGAAAUAAAUAAUUGGCUUGUUGCCAUCUUUGGUUUGUAUCUGUAAACAUUAUGGUUGUUGGCCUUACCUUCUUUUGGUUUUCUAUGGAAUUUGUAGCACCAUAUUUUGUCCACUAUGUCAGUACACCAGUGAUUAAACAAAGUAGUCUCAUGUGCUUGAUCUAAAAAUAAUUAUAAAGUCACCAUGUGGUUGAUCUAAAGAUAAUUAUAAAGUCACAAACACAGAAAAAUUAAAAGUAAUUCAUAAACAUUUGUCAUGUGAAAUUUACUUAAUGGAAGAGAAAUUCUAGGAAACAACUUUAUGGUGAGAAAACUCUAAAAAUCAAACCGAAAGAUAUAUAAUAAAUAAUUUUAUAAGAAUUAGGCUAUGUUUCAAAUAAUAUCACAUAUAGUAAAUUUAUGAGUUGUCGCUCAUCAUAACUCAAUUGUUUCACAUAUUGUAAUUCUUUAAUUUUGAAUAACAACAUAUGUUUCAUAAGAUUUAAAAUGGUAUGACUCAUUUUAUAAUAUUUUUAACUGAAUUGAAAUUCUGCAACUAUAAAAAUUGAAAAGAAUGAACUUGGCGGUAUUACGCUUAUAGUAUUGUUUCUUAUGGUGAACCAAAAGCAAGCCAAAAUUACGCUUACAUCAUCUUACUCUACCGUAAAACUUAUUUAUAAUCAUAACGGUAACACUAAAUUAAUUUUAUUACUGUGAGAGUUUAAUAUUUAAUAGAGGUGUAGUUACAAAAAUUAUUAUUUUAACUUAAUUAUUUUUUGUGCAAGUGAUAUAGCGAUAAAAUAUGCACUAUAUUAAUAACUAAUUAAUACAGCAUGUCAAAUUCAAUGUACUAACAAUGAUGAAAAAGAUAGGCAUAGUUUGAAAAAAACUAGUACAUAUAUCUUUAUAGUGCUGGAAUUAUGUAAAAUCAUCUUGAAAGUCUAAAGAAUAAAUGAUUGUACAAAAUAAUUUUAGAAAAAUAUUUUACUUCAUCUUAAACCUUUAACAUAAUAAGGGAUAUAUUUUUUACAAUAUACCGAUAAUUAUUACUAUUAGAGGUAACUUUCUUAAAACCGGAUUUAAAAAAAUUAUAAUUUAUCAUAAUAUAGAGUUUAUUCUUAUUUAUAAUUAUUAGGCUUGAUAAUCGACUGGGUCGUGUUUGGGCCAUGCCAAGCUCUAGCCCAACUAGGGGUGGCAAAACGAAUAAACGAAUCGAAUUUGAAUCGAAUCGUAAACGAAUUGGGUCAAAAUUAUAUGGAUUCGGAUUCGAUUCGUUUAUUAAACGAAUUGAAAUUUCAGGAUUCAGAUUCGAUUCGGUUAUUAAACAAAUAUUCGGUUCAAUUCGUUUAAUUCGUUUAAUAGAAUUGAUAAACGAAUCGAAUCGAAUCCGGAUUCGUUUAUUAUUCGCUUAUCCUUUACGAAUCCAUAACGAAUCGAAUCGAAUCAGGAUUCGUUUACAAUUCAUUUAGAAAAAUAUAAUUAAUAAACAAAAUUAAGCAAAAAAAACACAAAUUUAAUAUCCCACAACAAAAUACAAAUAAUUCAAAUCAUAUUAUACAGUCAUCCAAAUACUAAAUUACAAAUCCUUAAUAUUACAAAUAACAAUAAUUCAAAUUCAAAUUAUAAAGAAAUGUAAUUUCUUUAAUUCUCUUCAUUUGUCUUUGUCGCCUUGAAAACAAAAAUCCUACACCAAAAAGUAAAUAAAAUGUUAUUAACAUGCUGCAAUAUUGAUAAUAGUCAUUGUAAAAUUUCAAAAAUCAAAUAUAUAGCAAAUUUGUAGCAUUUUCAAGAAAAUAAUAAUUAAACAAGAUAAAAACUUUACCUACCACACUCACACACUGUCAUUUGGAUCAUUGGCACUCUCUGCAGAUGGAGCACAAUUAGUGCUCAUGUUCAUAAUGUUUUGAGUAAGUUGGUCCACAGUGACAUCCAAAUUUUCUACAAUAAUUUUAUAAAAAUAAAUCUUAAUUAGAAACAAUUGCACAUAAUAUUAUAAAAGAAAAGUAAAUAAAUUUUAUGAGCAAGUUUUACCAAUCUCUCCAAACUUCCAAUCUCUAGUAGUAAUAAUUGCUUGAACUAUCUCUAGUAGUAAUAAUUACUUGAACUGUCUCUGGCUUCAAUACACUUCAAAAUUGAUCAAGAACUCAACCGCCAAACAACAACAAAACAACAGUAAAACAGCAACAAAAUAGCAGCAAAAUAGUAGUAAAACAACAACAAAAUAUCAGUAAAAUAGCAGUAAAACAACAACAAAAUAGUGGAAAAAUAACAAAAAAAAUGGUAGCGAAACAGCAGCCAAACAACAGCAGUAAAACAGCAGCGAAACAGCAGUAAAACGACAGUAAAAUAGCAGUAAAUCAGCAACAAAACAACAGCAAAACAGUAAUAAAACAGCAACAAAACAGCAACAAAACAACAGCAAAACGGUAAUAAAACAGCAAUAAAAGGCAAAUUUUCAGUGGUGUACCGUGAUGGUGGGUAGUUAGCGCGGCGGGAAGUGGUGCUGGGGAUGAAAACCUUCAAAUUUUAAAAAGCUUUCAAAUAAAUUUAAGGAUAAAAAAGUAAUUUAAUUAAACGAAUAAUAAACUAAUCGACCCGUAUUCGAUUGGUUUAUGACCGAUUUAUUAAACGAAUAAACGAAUCAAAAUUUUCAAACCUGCAUUCGAUUCGUUUAAUUAACGAAUCGAAUCGAAUUCACCCAUUUAUUAAACGAAUCAAUUUUUUCAAACUCAAACCCAUUUAAUUUGCAUCGAAUCGAAUCAAAUAAACGAAUCCUGACCCAUAUUGCCACCCCUGCCCAACCCUAUGAUUAAAAUGAAGGACUCUAAUACUAAAAAGCUUGACCCUUCAAACUAAAGAACAACCUGGCUUUAAUAAUUUUUUUAUAUUUUAUUUUUUUUUUUAAGAAUAUGACUCCUAUUCUUCAUUCUUUAGUAAUAUUAUUAUUAUUAUUAUUGUUCCUUUUUUUUGUUGGAUUUGUUUGUAAGGAAUUUAAUAAAUUAUUUUUUAUUUAACUUAACAACAAUAGAACGUUUAACAAUCUAACAAAAUUAAUAUAUUAACCAAGCAAUAGGUAAAUAAAUCAAAUACAAAAUAACAAAAUUAAUAUGAAAUAGAGAUAAAUAUCCCUAAAGUGUAGUUGUGACCAUCUAUGUGUAUGUGUGUUUAAUAAUAUUUUUAUUUUAAAAAUUAAUUUAAAGAUCAAGAGUUGAGUUAAAACAUUUUGGUAAAACUUUAACCCUAACCCAAAUGUAAUUAGGUCCUGAUUCCUUAAGCCCUAACCCAACGUUUAACCUUUCAAAUUCGAGUCAAAACCAUUAAAAUUAAGAUCGAAUCAAUCAAGUCGAGGGUCGGAUAAAACCUUUUUGUCAUCCUAAAAAUUACCCUAAAUUAAAAUCAAAAUUUUUUAAAAUUAUAUAAAAAUUAUUCUUAUACACAGUAACAAUAUACGACCCAACAAGAAAUGAACCUGGACGCAUUAGGGCUUUGAUCCACAAACAAACUUUCAAAACCCUCUUAGACCUCAAGAGCAUUUUAGUCCAUUUAAUCAAAAGUAAAAGUGCGGCUACCAGCUAACUCUCCGGAAUUGAACUGAACGAGUUUCAGAAAUGGCAUCGAAAAGCAAGAUUCUAUCCAUCGGCGGGACAGGGUAUAUCGGUAAAUUCAUCGUGGAAGCUAGCGUGAAAGCCGGCCACCCGACGUUCGUGCUCGUGAGGGAAUCCACAGUCUCUGGUCCUUCCAAAUCUCAGCUCCUCGACCACUUCAAAAACCUCGGCGUCAAUUUCCUUGUCGUGAGUUAUCAAUUUUUUUUUUCAUUUUUUUAAUUCCAAAUUUUGACACGUGGCGGUGUAGCCUCUACUUGAUAGACUUGGUUUUUUUUUUUAAUUUAAUUUUUGUGGGUGCUGUUAUUAUUAUGCAGGGAGAUGUUUUGAAUCACGAGAGUUUGGUGAAGGCGAUAAAACAAGUGGACGUGGUGAUAUCAACAGUUGGUCACACUUUAAUAGCCGAUCAGGUCAAGAUUAUUGCUGCCAUUAAAGAAGCCGGUAACGUUAAGGUAUGACAUAAUUAAUGUAAAUGUCUUAGAUUCCGAUCAGGAUUGUGCACUCGUGCACACGUGGUGAUUUAUUCUUCGUGUGGAGCUCGCUGUAGAGUAGAGCUCCCAGUUCCGCUAAUAAACACCCGUCACAUGCGCAAUUGCGCCUCAAAAUAAUUUAAUUAAUUAAUUAGGUAUAAACACCGAUGGCAUGAAAGCAAUUAAAAUUAGUUGAUGUUUAUAAAUUAUUUAUUACUCAGAGAUUCUUCCCAUCGGAAUUUGGAAAUGAUGUUGAUCGAGUCCAUGGCGCCGUGGAGCCAACAAAAUCGACGUAUGACGUAAAGGCGAACAUCCGCCGAGCCGUUGAGGCAGAAGGCAUUCCGUACACGUACGUAGAAUCUUAUUUUUUUGAUGGCUACUUCCUCCCUAAUUUGUUGCAGCCUGGGGCCACUGCCCCCCCUAGGGAUAAGGUUGUCAUCUUCGGCGAUGGAAAUCCAAAAGGUAACAUAAUUUAAUUAAGCUCUGUUUGUUUGGUAUGUAUUUCGGUGUUAAUGUUAUUGUCUGUUGUACAAUGGAUGGUCUUGCUUGGUACUGUUGUUGGAGAGCUGCAGUGUUUUGAUAAACACCUCUAUCCUUAGCUUUCAAGUUAAGUUGAUUUUAUACAACACUUGUUUAAUUAAAAACUUGUAAUAUUCUUACUACUUUGAUAAAAAAAAUAUUACGAUUAAAGUAUUAAUGGCACCAUAAUACGAAGUGAAUCUUAAGUGGUCAUUAUAGAUUUUAAGAUAGAGUUUUAAGUGAUUACCAGAUACUUUAGCUGCUGAACCGCCACAUCAUGGUUGCCACACAACAAUUUCAAACAGAGCCUAAAUAACUUCAUUGCAAAACAGUUAAAUGAAUCUAACUUAGUUUCGUCGUUUGAUUUUCAGCUGUUUUUAACAAGGAAGAUGAUAUUGGAACCUACACUAUCAAAGCGGUUGAUGAUCCGAGAACCUUGAACAAAAACUUUUACAUUCAGCCUCCCGGUAAUAUUUACUCAUUCAAUGAUCUUGUGUCUCUGUGGGAGAGAAAGAUUGGUAAAACCCUCGAAAAGGAGUAUGUUUCAGAGGAGCAGCUCCUAAAGAAUAUUCAAGGUUGGUUAAAACUCUCUUUUUUAAAUGUAUUAAAGAGAGCCGUAUAUUCUCUGCCGUAAAUGUUAUUGAUCCUGUCUUCUCCAAAAUGUUGCAGAAGCUGCAUCUCCACACAAUUUUAUAUUAUCAAUUUAUCACUCUGCUUUCGUGAAGGGAGUUCAAACUAACUUCAAGAUUGAACCAUCUUUUGGAGUUGAAGCCUCGCAGCUUUAUCCUGAUGUCAAGUACACUACAGUUGAUGAGUACCUCAAUCAGUUUGUGUAACCCUUCUCUGUUUCCAGCUGCAGCUUGCAGGAUCUUGGACUGUUGGUAAAUAAAUAAUUGGCUUGUUGCCAUCUUUGGUUUUAUAUGUAAAAAUUAUGGUUGUUGGCCUUACUUUCUUCUGGUUGUCCAUGGAAUUUGUUAGACCAUAUUAUGUUUGCUAUGUCAGUGAUCAAAUGAAGUAGGCCAUGUACUUGAUUUGAGAGUAGUAGUUAUAAAGCCAUCAUGAUCAGGUGGGUGCGUAGGUUGGGCUUCUAUUAGGGUGCGUGUGUUGGGCUUCAGGGGCUUGUGAUAUGGGUUCGACAGCCCCUAACGGGCAGUCAUUAUAAAAAUAAUUAUAGAGUUACAAAUCUAUGUAAAAAGCAAAAAUUAAAAGUAAUUUAUCAAUAAAAAUAAUUAAAAUUAAUAAAAAGUAGGUAUGAUAAUUCAGAAAUUAAAUUAAAGAUAGAAUUCUAAAGAGUUGGAUAAUCCUCCAACUAAACUAAAGAUCUAGUACUUUUGAGAGCAAAUUUAAUUAAAGAAAAGGAUAAGGAAAAACAAUAGAAUAAUAAUAUUAAAAAAUUGCAAAUCUUGGUCUUUUUUUUUUACGAUGAUGUUGAAUUCUUAUAAAUUUAAUCUUAUCUAUAGAAUUAUUUAGUUACUGUAUGUCAAAAUUUCCUAUAAAGAUGAAGAAAAAUUAUAUUAGGAGAAGAUCCAAAUCCGUUUAACUGAUGCAUCAUCGACAACAUGAGUACAACAUUUUCGAAUAAACAAAAGAAACUCGUUUUAUGUGUGAACCAGUUCCAAAAUAAAGAGCAGACUAUUGGAAGGAGACAAAUACUACAAGAAGAACAAAACAUUCUACAAUUCCUACAUGAGCCCGCAACAAUUAAUUAUUAACUCGACAUUCAUUACACUUUUUCUUUAAUUUGACAAAGAAACCAAAAAUAAGAUAAAAUUGACUAAGAAAUAAAAAAAUGACAAAAAUCUUUUUGAAGUUUUGCCAGUUCAGCCAUGCACGCUUAUCUUUAUUCACUUGUUUCCUUUCUUUCCUUUCUUUCCUUUCUUUCCUUUCUUUGCUGAAGCCUUCACAGAUCCUUUACCUUUCUGAGCCUUGCCAAUUUUCCCCUUCUUCAAACCACCUGGCCUUGCUGGAUCCACGUGUCCUUGCAUCCUUUUUCAUUCGUGGAUCAACAAGAAUCUCCCCCUUUCCAGCUCUCUCUUGAACUCCUUGCUUUGCGACCAUGUAUUCUUUGGUAGGCCUUUUGGGUAUAGUUGUCUUGUAUAAUUGUUCAAUUUGAUUCCUCUUCGAACGAUCAGAGAUGUCCGCUUAGUCUGAUAUGACAUUUGCCUUCUUGCGAACCUUCUCAAGAUUUCGCAUGGCAACCCGUAUCUUUCGAGCUUUGGUCUUAGCCACCUUCUUGGCAGUAUGGGUGGGCGAUUCGAUUUUGGGAUAAACUUUUGGUUUCGUAUCGGUUUAGAUUAAAAAAUAAUAUAAAAAAAUAUUUAGAUUUUAAGGGAAAAAAUCCGAACCGAGACUCACCUAUCGAUUUUGGCUCGGUUUCAGUUCAGUUUUGAUUCUCCUAAUAGUUUUAUUUUGCCUUAUUGACUUCCGGUCAAUGACACUUUUGAAAAAUUUACAAAAAAAAAAAAAAUGGCCAUAACAAAAUUUCUAAAUGCAAAUAUUUCCUAAACAUUAGGCUAUACUAAAUUUUUUUAAAAGGUAGGGAUCCAAACGAUAUUAUCCCUCUACUUCAUCUUCAACCUUCGUCACUAGGGAUGGCAAAAUUCAGGUUCGGGUUCGGGUCCGGGUUUAGCCAUUCGGGAUCCGGACCCGGAUGAAUAUUUUCUGUAUCGGACCCGAAAAUAAACCCGCAUUUUUCCACUCCGAGUCUGGUACGGGUUCAACCCGAAAAAAUUCGGGUUCCCAGACUGCGGGUUUCCAACCCGAAUUGAUGAAUCCAAUUGAAAAAAAAAAACUAAAUUCAACUAAAAAAAUCAAAUAGAAAUACAUAUCCAGGAUUUUAGCAAAUCAAAGAAAAAUUAUUUCAUCUGGAAACUAAUUAACAAAAACAACAAUUUUGUUUGGCUGCCCAGAAUCAGCAACCCAAUGUGGCGGCUCGUUCAAAACAUUAGUGUUUUCAACAGAUUUUGGGGUAGGAAAAGCCAAACCUAUCUAGAACAAUGAAUUUGUAUUUUUGGGGGAGAUGAGAUACCUCACUGGUUUGUUGUGUGCGGUGCAGUGUAUCUGAAAUUUGGGGGAUGUGAGAAGGGGAGAGGGAGUGGUAACAAUGGUGAAAGGUCAAAACCAAUAGAGAUGUCCUUCAAAAUGAGCUUCACACCUGUAAAACAGUGAAAUAAAGGUUAGAGGUGAAGCCGGGAUACCCCGGUGUUCACACUCCGAUGCUCAAGUUAGCAAACUCAAGCUUUUAUGACAAAGAGAACUGGCUAGCCCUCUGUAAAUUAGGGUUUAAGGUUCAAGGAAACCUAUUUUUUGGAAUGUGAGUGUUAAUGGUGAGUGAGAGACCUCUUCGAGAAUGAAACAUAGGCGCCUUUAUAUAUGGAGUACCUCAGCUGCCACAUGACGUACCCUUUUUUGGCUAACGUCAUUUUUCCUUUUUAUGAUUUUUGGGUCGUUAUGUGCAUGUUCGCGGGGUAUCUCAUCUUUUGGAAACGUGGCGCGCGCUGGAGAGUGGUCCAGGGUACCUCUGCAGUAGCUGUCGGGUAGGCAGCUGAAGACCACUGUCCUUGGGACAAUGUCCUUCACUUUUGGUAAAGGUGACAGGCGGUUGUCCCCCUUUUUAACACGACAUUUUUUAUUCCUAAUUAUGACAAAAUCGAAUAAUAUCUUUUAAGAGAUGGAGACGUUUCUCAUGGUGGAUAUUUUCAGAGGAUUCUCUUGCAUCUGAUCAGCCGGGUUCCUCCAGUUAUGCAGGGUACCUCUAAUUUUACGGGGUACCUCUAUUUGCGCAGGGUACCUUGAAUCAUGCUAGGUACCUUAGAUUAUGCGGGGUACCUCAUAUUGUGUGGGGUACCUCUAAUUGUGCGGGAUACCUCUAUUUGCGCUAGGUACCUUGAAUCAUGCUGGGUACCUCAGAUUGUGCGGGGUACCUCUAUUUGUGCAGGGUACCUUGAAUCAUGCUGGGCACCUCAGAUUGUGCGGGGUACCUUUAGUCAUGCGAGGUACUUUUAAUCAGGCCAGGUACCCUCUAAUUGUGCUGAGUACCUCUAAUCAUGCAGGGUACCUCUAAUCAUGCGGGGUACCUCUAAUCAGGCCGGGUACCUCAGAUUGUGCGGGGUACCUCUAUUUGCGCAGGGUACCUUGAAUCAUGCCGGGUAUCUCAGAUUGUGCGGGGUACCUCAAAUUGUGUGGGGUACCUCUAAUCGUGCGGGGUACCUCUAAUCAUGUCGGGUACCUCGGAUUGCACUGAAAUUAUUCCAUUCGUUGACACGUGGCGUUAUGCUAUCUUUCUUAUUUUUCCCCCAAACAACAUCCCUCUAGUUUCUUUUGGCAAGAAGUUUUGGAGGCAAAAGAAACUUACAUAAAAAGUAGGAGCGACACGUGGCGAUAUGAUGUUUAGCUCGAUGGAUAACUAAAUAGAGGGCGCCUCUAGGGGUACCCUGAGAACCCAAAAAGGGAAGAUGGGCUCCAUUUCCUCGGAAAUGGCUACCACUUUGGACAUGUUGGAAAUGAUAGAGCUAAUUGAUCAAAAAAAUUUCAUCUAUUUCUGGGGAAGAACACCAAAUACGGGUAGAGGGUAUCGUUAGGGUACCCCACCAUUAUCCAUAGUUUGUUUUCUAGUGACUGCCAUGUAUAAAUCGCUCUGGUGAAGGCUUCAAUACAUUCUUUGGGCAUUUAAGAAGCAAUUAUUUGAUUAUCUCGGGAUCCACCUUAUUUAAGGGUAUAUUUCCUUCAUGUGCUUCGAAGAAAAAAAUAAAAUCACAGGGCCUUCUUCCUUGUAACUUCAGAGGUACCAUCGACAGAAGAACAUAGUCGACAAUGCUUUUAAGCGUAUCAUGAUCGAGGAAUGGAGUGCUGAUCUGGGGUUGGUGGUGCCAAGAGUGGAGAAGAUGGUAGAUGAACCGGCUAUCUUGAAGGCGAUUAAUGAUAGCGGGGCUCCCAACACAUCUUGGUCUGAAAGCCCAUUGAGAUCAGCUGAGGUACCUCAGAUGAGGUAUCUAUAAGGUACCCCUGAUACUAACCCUUGUGUUUUUGCUACUUUUAGCACUUUAUUGAUCCCUUCAUCCUAAGGGAUGAAGUUGAAGAUAAAUAUCCUGUUGUAUAACCUUGUUCGACAUUACUGACAAGAUGUAUGGGGUACCUUGUUAGCCUAUAUGGCUAUAAAUAUUGAUUUUGAUGAUAACAAACCACAUGUAUUUAUUGAGUAAAGAUUUAUGAAUUGUGCUUUUAUAAUGAGAAAAUGAUGUUAUGGAAUUAAAUCUUUUUGAACUAAAAUGAAAGUAAUUUUAAAAUCUUUGAUAGUAUUUUAAAUUUCGGAUUUGUACAUAUUUGAAACUAUUUAAAUGUUUUUAGGUCAUUUUGUAAUUUCACAAAGUUUGGGCGAAGUCAUAAUUUCAUAAAGUUGUGGGAUUGAGAAAGCAUUAUCUAAAAUUAUGAAAUUGGACAUAUUUGCAAACGUUUAUAACGUUUUGGGCCAUACCACAGUUUUAUAAAGUUUUAGGGUCAAAUUGAAAAUAUUAGAAAAUUUUCACUGUAGCAGGUUACUGUAGCAAGCAGCUUACCGGAUUCAGAAAAUCAGAAAUCCGGAUUCGAGGCAGUAAGCAUCCAGAACCAAAACGGCUUACCGGAUUCCUGAAUCCGGCAAACCGGUUAGGCAAAAUUUUGAAUUUUGCCUUAACGGUAACAUAAAUCCGGCUUACCGAAUUCUAUAAAAUGGCAAACUGGAUAGCCUAGAAUGUGAGUAACGGCUAGUUUUCGAGCUCAAGCUAUAAGAACUCAAAUCCAACUCAUUUUGAAGCUCUCCAACAAGCAAGAACAAAAAGCACACGUGAUAUCUUGAGCCUUCAACUUGUAAAACACAAUUCAUUGAAUCAUUCAUUGUUCUUCAUCUUUGAAUAUCUACUCAUUGAGUGAGUUUCAUUGUAUCUUUCAUUUCUUCAAUUCAUUUGUAAGAGUUUGAGUGUGUGAGACACUUGAGUGAAGAGAUUGGGAGAUAAUCUCUUUGUUGUAAAGGUUUAUUGACACCUCGAAGUCAAUUGUAAUCGUUGAAGCCUUGGAAAGGCUUGGAUAGUGAAAUCCUCGAGCUUGGAUCGCUUGGAGGCGUGGACGUAGGCGGGGAUUACCGAACCACGUAAAAAUUCGUGUGUUUGUUUCUCUUCUCCCUUACUCUUUAAUUAUUGUACCAUUAUUGAACUUAUUACUUUCAAUUAUUGUUAAGACAUUAGAUUGCUUGUUGUGUGGAUUUGUUAGGAUAAUUUUUAAAAAUCCAAUUCACCCCCCUCUUGGGUUGCACACUUGUAUUUCAUACCUCAUGUACCCUAAUGCUUGGAUAUCCCUUGAGCUAUCUGUUACUUCAUGGCGGAAUAACCCAAUUGCAUCAAACAUAUGGCGAUUCUUCCAGAUAUGCUUGUCGCUUAUCUUAAGCUUUCUUAGGGUUCCUCCUGGUGUAUCUGAGGAAUAGCUUUCUGGCGUGGGGUACCCUUAAUCAGCGUAUGGUGAUUUUCAUAGAAAUGCUUGCCGCAAAUCUUCACAAAACUUGUUGCGGUUGCUUUUGAGAGAUUGUGCGGGGUACCUUGAAUCAUGCCGGGUAUCUCAGAUUGUGCGGGGUACCUCAAAUUGUAUGGGGUACCUCUAAUCGUGCGGGGUACCUCUAAUCAUGUCGGGUACCUCGGAUUGCAGUGAAGUUAUUCCAUUCGUUGACACGUGGCGUUCUGCUAUCUUUCCUAUUUUCCCCCAAACAAUUAGUAAAGAGAGCUAAAGAACUAGCUUUAGUUACGAGCAGAAAAUCAGAAGUCAAGGAGCAGCCAAAGCACUUUUAAUGGUGAUGGUAAAACUAGAGAGGUAAUGCAAAUAAGUUUACGUUGAUUGGAUAUUCAGAAGAAGUAAUACGCCAUUAAAAGCAACAAGUUUUCCAAAAAGCCAACAAAGACAGAGACCACCACACCACCCCGCACUGGAUGAAAAACGAUGAAAGCAUGAUAAGUGGCAUCGAGUAAGCCACGUUCUCUCUCUCUCUCUCUCUCACUCGCACUCGCACUCGCACUCGCACACACUGUUACUAAAAUGACCAAAAAUAAGAUUCCCAUCAAAAUAUUUUCGAGUAUCGUUCUUGAAAGUGGCGGCGGCUGAUGAUGAUGAACACAGCCGCGAUUGCGAUUGGCGAAGGCGGCGUUCUGCCCGUAUCACAGCUAGUUAUCGGUCGCGGCAGAAAAGAUAAUGAAACGACGGCUGAUGAUGAUGAUGAUGAUGUUGAACAGCCGCGAAUAUGGGUAAGUGAUGCGACGAUGAUUUGAUUUGAUGAAGAUGAGCUGAACAUGGAAUAAGAGAGGAAAUGUUUGUGCGGCUGGGAAAGUGUAAUGAACUGCUAGGGCACCAUUUGGGUUUUUUUGCUUUCCUAUUUAUAUUAAAAAUAAUUUUUAAAAAUUAAUAUAUAUCCGGGUUCGGGUUUUGGAUGUACGGGUUUACCUAGACCCGGACACAUGCGGAUUCAGCAGCACCGACCACCCACAGACUUGGAUUUGAUUACAAAGUUGGGACUUAGGAUUUGGGUUUGUGGCUGCCGAAACAGAAAGUGAGAGAGUAGAAAGUAGAGACUGAGAGUGGUGCAAACAUGUGUAAUUUUGUGUGUGUGUCUAUAUAUAUAUAAUGUGAAAUUACAAAAAUGCCAUUAUAUCAGUUCAAUUCGAAUUUUGUAACUUGUGAUCCGAAAACUGAACCAAACCGAACCAUUUGGUUUGGUAUUUAUAUAUUCAGGUUUUUAAUUUAAAAAAACUAAAUUGAAAUUGAAAGAACUAAACCGAACCGAAUUUUUUUUUUUUUUGUUUCGAUUCAAUUAUGCCCAUCCCUACUUAGUAGGCUGGGUAUCAAUUUCUUUGAAUUGUGCUUUCAUUGCAGUAAUCUCCUCCUUGGUAAUAGGUUUAAUUGCUUGCUGAUGCCACCUUUCCUCUAGUAACAACUAGUCUAACAAGCCAUCAUCGUCAAACAUGUACCUAUUAUAAGCAUCAUCCAGAAUUUGCUCUCUUUGCUUUUUGCUUAGUGUCUUCUUUGCACAAGCUAUUAUCUUAGCUUUUGUAUCAAUAUCUUUAUCUUUUGAUUCACCAGAGGAUGAAUCAUCACCGGAAUAGAGUGGUGAAGGCCCCAUAGAUUAGUGUGAUCAAGUUCUAGUGUAGUUUUGGUUUUGAUUUCAGUAUUAGGAAAAUGAAGCCUAUGAAAUUUACCAAGCUAACAUGCUUCACAAAAGUGCUUUAAUACUUGACUAUGAAUACUUGAAGAGGAUAAAUGAGGAUAAAUAAAUUUAAAUAUACAUUAGAUUUUGAGGGUUGGGAUGUCAAAACUUUUGGUGAAAAAGAGUUAGUACAAGCAUUUUUAUUGAGAUUGAAAACAUUUCUUAAGAUGAUCAAUACUAGUUACAAAAUUGGAAUGAAAAAAAAAAGGCAACAUAGACAAAGGUUUGUUUAUUUGAUUGUAAGAUAGAAAAGACUUGUAUUUAGGUUGUGGAAAGGAUUUGAGCAGCAAUUUAUACAACCUUUUCUCAGCAAAACCUUCCUCUUCAAUGAAUCCUUCACAAAACAAAUAGAUCCAAGAAAUUCGACAAAUAAAUUGUUGUCAAUGGUAAGUUUUGAAAUGCUCAAUAGAUUCUUUGUAAUGGAUGGAACAAACAGUACAUCCUUAAGUAAAAUAUGUCUUAUAUUAUCUUUUUUUAAUUCUUUUUAAAAAAAUAAGUGAAUAAUAGUAUGUCAAUCUCAAAUAUCAAUAUGUACAAUUUUUAUUUGUGUAAGAAUUUGCAUCCAAUAAUCAUCAAUACAUAAUUGUCUUUUAAUUGAAUGGUUCUCACCUCCCUUCCAAACUUUGAAAAGGUAAAAUAAGAUCAAUCAUGUCAGUGGCAAUUAAUAUAAAGAUUACUUUUCUUAUUUGUAGUAACGUCCUCUGAUUAUUUAGCUGAUUUUCAAGCUACACAUUUAUUCCAUUUGAUGUUGAUAUUAGUAAAAUUAAUGUAAUAUUUAAAAAGGAAAAAAAUCCGUCGAGCUAAAAGCCGAGUAUAAAAUUGAACCAGACCCAAACCAGAAACGCACGCCAACAACAUGUUUGCGUCAGUCGGCCCAUGCCCAUAAACCCACCAAGCCCGAUCCAAAUAGAAAAAUGAAUUGGACACCCGAGAUAGCAGAAACAGAUAAGUAACGGUCGUGCUAUCCCCAAUCUCAUAUCUUCAACGGUAUCCAGCCAACAUCUCAAAGUGUUCAAUUUUUUUUUAAGCCAAAAAAAAAUUCAAAAUUUUCAAGCGGAAUCUGGGAAGAUAGCGAUGAAAAGCAAGAUUCUGGUUAUCGGCGGAACCGGAUACAUCGGUAAGUACUUAAGGUGCGUUUGAAAUUGAGGUUGAGCAACUAUAACUUUAAAACUGCAGCACUAAAAUAUUUGGUAAACACUAAUUGUUGUAACUUAAAAGCUAUUUAAUAUAAUUUUUCACUUGUAUAAUAAAAAAUUUAUUAUCUUUAAUAAUUUUGUCAAAAUUAUUAUUUAAAAUAUAUACAGUAAGAGAGAUUGUAACAUUUUCAAUCUUUGGUUUGAUAUUCUGGAAGAAAACGAUUUGCCGUUUAUGGAGAAAACUGCUAACCGUUUAAUUUCAGAGAGCAUGUUUUCUAUUCUAGAGAAAACGGCUAACCGUUUGGAGAAAACGGCUAACCGUUUGGAGAAAAUGGCUAACCGUUUGGAGAAAACGGCUAACCGUUUAAUUCCAGAGAGCAUGUUUUCUGUUCUAGAGAAAAUGACUAACCGUUUGGAUAAAACGGCCAACCAUUAAUUACAGAGAGCAACUUAUUUGACAUUCUGGAAUAAAACGGCUCACCGUUAUUGAGAAAACGGCUAACCGUUUAUUUCCAGAGAGCGUGUUUUUGCGUCAACUGGAAAAACGGUUAGCAAGCUUAGAAAUUUCAAUUGUCAAUCGAUGCAAACUCAAACCAAAAGAGUGUUUUUUUGAAGAAGUACUAUUUUUAAUGGUUGUAUUCUUUCAAAUAAACAUCUUCUUUAUUAAAGAUAGACAAACUAUUAUAUCAUAAUUAGAUUUUGCAGGUUUCAUAUAUGUUCUGGAAAUACAAUCUUAUUUUUUAGAGAUUGUAUUCAGGAUUUGAUAUAUCUUAGGGGUAAUUUGCCAUUAAAACUCUAUAGCAAACCAAGAUUGGUGAGGGUAAAUAAAACCUUAAAGAAAAAUGUGCAAACACGUCUCAAAUCCUAAGAAAUUUUCUUUGUUCUUUGCCUCCAUAUUCUUAAAAUUUGAAAAUUCACCCAUCAAUCUUUAAGGUUUUAUUUUGAUGCAAAUAGAGGCUGAGAAGAGUUUGACGUCAUUUCUUAAUCCUAGUGUCCAUCUCGAUCGUUUUGAUGGAACAAAUUUCACUCGUUGGAAGGAAAAAUUGUUCUUUCUUCUUACUGUUCUUAAAGUGGCAUAUGUUCUUAAUCCGAAAUUGGAACCAUUUCCAGAACCAAGGGAAGAUGAUACCGAAGUUGUUAAGGCUGUAAGGAAACGUCGUGAAGAUGAUGAAUUGAUGUGCCGGGGUCACAUACUCAAUACGCGUUCUGACAGGUUAUAUGAUCUCUACAAUUUUAUGACUUCUUCGAUGGAAAUUUGGAAUGCUCUUGAGUACAAAUACAAAACGGAGAAAGAAGGUACUGACAAAUUCCUUGUCUCUAAAUAUUUUGAAUUUAUUAUGGUAGACACACAAUCCAUUCUUGAUCAAAUACAUGAGUUAUAAAUUAUUGUUGCUAAGCUUCGAGAGUUAAAAGUUAAAAUUUCUGAAUCAUUUCAAGUUGGGACUAUUAUUGCUAAAUUGCCUCAAAGUUGGAAUGAUUAUAGAAAGAAACUCCUUCAUAGUAAAGAGAACAUAACUUUAGAAGAAUUGCAAAAACACUUGGUAAUUGAAGAAGAGACUAGGUCUCGCGAAUCCAAGGAUAAACAUGAUUCUACUAAAGUUAAUGUUCUUGAAGCUAGUAAAUUCUCAAAGAAUUUUAAAGUCAAGAAUGACAAGAAAUUUAAGAGGUCCAGCACACAAAAGUUUUCUGGAAAUUGUUUCUUUUGUGGUAAGAAAGGUCAUCGCCAAAGUGAUUGCAGAUUCAAGAAAAAAAAAGAAGAAGUGAAUUCCUAUAAAGCUAAUGUUAUUGAAAACAAAUCUGAAAAGAUUUGUGCUAUGGUUUCUGAAAUACAAAUUGGCAUGAUUAUCGAAACCAAUAUGGCUGAAACUAAGUCCUAUGAUUGGUGGCUCGAUUCGGGUACAACAAUUCAUGUUUGUAAUGAUAAGAAAUUUUUAUUAUCAUACAAAGAAGAAACGGAAGGACAAAUGGUUCUCAUGGGGAACAAUAAUGCAGCCAUAGUAGCAGGGAAAUGAGUAGUUGAGAUCAACUUCACUUCUAGAAAGAAAGUCACAUUGUAUAAUGUCUUUCAUGUACCUUCCGUUAGGAAGAAUCUUAUUUCUGCUAGUUGUAUGUGUAAGCAUGGGCUUAAGAUUGUGCUUGAGGGUAAUACUUGUAUUAUCUCAAAGAAUGAAUUAUUUGUUGGGAAAGGGUAUUCUUGUGAUGGAAUGUACAAACUCAACAUUAAUAAUAAUAAUAUCAACUUAGCUUAUAUUGUUGAGUCUUGUGAUGUUUGGCAUGCUAAAUUAGCACAUUUGAAUUUUAGAUCUUUGAAAUACAUGUCUGAGCAUGGUUUGAUUAAUUGCAAUGAUGUUAAAGGUCAUAAGUGUGAAAUCUGCAUCCAAGCUAAAUUAACUAAGAAACAUUUUCUUAAAGCCGAACGAAAUACUCAAAUAUUGGAUUUAAUAUAUACCGAUAUUUGUGAGUAUAAUGGCGUUUUAACAAGAGGAGGUAAGAAGUACUUUAUCCCUUUUAUUGAUGAUUGUUCUAGAUACACUUAUAUGUAUUUACUUAGAACAAAAAAUGAAGCUUUUGAUAAAUUUAAAAUUUUCAAAGCUGAAGUUGAGAACCAAAAAGAUAAGAAAAUCAAAAUGGUUCGUAGUGAUAGAGGUGGUGAAUAUUUCUCAAUUGAAUUUAAUAAUUAUUGUGAAGAAUUUGGAAUUAUUCACCAAAGAUCAGCUCCAUUUACUCCUCAACAAAGUGGUUUGGCUGAAAGAAAGAAUAGGAUCUUCACGGAUAUGAUAAAUUCCAUGAUCCAUAAUGCAAAACUACCAAAUAAUUUGUGGGGGGAAGCAUUACUCACUGCAUGUCAUAUUCAUAACAGAAUUACAUCUUUGAAAACACAUAUAUCUCUUUAUGAAAUUUGGAAAGGAAGAAAACCAAACUUGAUGUAUUUAAGGGUCUAGGGUUGUUUAGCUUUUUAUAAAAUACAUGAUCCUAAAUCAUCAAAGUUAAGUGCUAGAUGUAUAAAGAGUGUUUUCGUAGGAUAUGCUGAAAAUUCUAAGGCUUAUAGGUUGUUAGAUUUAGAUUAUAAUGUGAUUGUGGAAUCUAGAGAUGUUGAAUUUAUUGAGAAUAAAUUUCAACAUGAUUCUAAUAUUGAAUUAGAAUCAAUUAUUGAUCAACCAUGUGUUAAUACUCCUGUUACCUCCACUAACAAUAAUAAAAGGAAAGAGUCUAUGACAUCUUUCGAACCAAUGAGGAGUCAACGUGAAAAGAAAGAAAAGAGUUUAGCUCCGGAUUUUAUUUCAUCACAAGCACUACUCUUCUUGGUUGAAGGGGAUAGAAAGAAUGUACUUAACAAAGUACCAUUAUUGUUAAAUAUUGAAAAAGAUCCAAAGACAUUUAGCGAAGCUAUGUCUUCUAGAGACGCUUCUUUUUAGAGAGAGGCGGUAAAUGAUGAAAUUGAUUCGAUUAUUUCGAAUCAAACAUGGGUCUUGGUUGAUCUUCCUCCAGGAUCUAAACCAAUUAGCAGCAAAUGGGUAUUUAGAAGAAAGUACAAUAGUGAUGGUUCUUUGCACACUUUUAAGGCUAGAUUAGUAGCCAAAGGGUUUAAGCAAAGAAAUGGUAUUGAUUAUUUCGAUACAUAUGCUUCGGUAGCAAGGUUAACUUCUAUAAGAGUGCUAUUUGCAAUUGCUUCAUUGAACAAUUUGUAUGUGCAUCUAAUGGAUGUUAAAACCGCUUUUCUUAAUGGUGAUCUUGAUGAAGAAAUCUAUAUGGAACAACCUGAGGGAUUUGUUUUACCAGGAAAUGAGAAAAAAGGUAUGCAAAUUAGUCAAAUCACUUUAUGGUUUAAAGCAAGCACCAAAACAAUGGCAUGAGAAGUUUGAUUCGGUAAUUUUAUCUCAUGGUUUUAAGCAUAAUAAUGCUGAUAAAUGUAUAUAUUUUAAAUUUACGAAUGAUUUUGGUGUGAUUAUAUGCUUGUAUGUUGAUGACUUGCUUAUCUUUGGGACAAAUAUGCAAGGAGUAGAUGAUACAAAGAAGUAUUUAACUUCACAAUUUAAGAUAAAAGAUCUUGGUGAAGUAGAUACUAUCUUAGGUGUCAAAGUGAAGAAACAUAGUGAGGGUUACUCGUUGUGUCAAUCUCAUUAUAUAGAGAAAGUGCUUCUUAAAUUCAAUUAUUUGAAAUUUAAAGAAGCUAAUACCCCAUAUGAUUCUAGUAUUAAAUUAUUAGAGAAUUCAGGCCGAGUAGUAGCACAACUAGAAUAUGCUAGUGCUAUUGGUAGCUUGAUGUAUGCUAUGCAUUGUACGAGGCCUGAUAUAGCAUUUGCAGUUUGCAAAAUGUCAAGAUUCACGAGUAACCCUAGUGUUGAACACUGGAAAGCAAUUGGUAGAAUACUUGGUUAUCUUAAAAGGACCAUUCAUUUGGGUUUAUUUUAUAAUGAUUAUCCUGAAGUACUGGAAGGAUAUUCAGAUGCUAGUUGGGUAACCAAUACAAGAGAUAAUAAAUCCACUUCUGGUUGGAUUUUUACAAUUGUUGGAGGAGCAGUUUCCUGGGCUUCAAAGAAACAAACGUACAUAACUCAUUCAACAAUGGAAAGUGAGUUUAUAGCACUCGCAGUUGCAAGCAAGGAAGUAGAAUGACUGAGAAAUUUGUUGUUUGAUAUAAUGUUAUGGCCACAACCGAUGCCAUAUAUUUCUUUGUACUGCGAUAGUGAAGCUACAUUGUCUAGAGCUUAUAAUAAAGUGUAUAAUGGAAAGUCUAGACAUAUUAGCUUGAGACAUGAAUAUGUGAAACAAUUAAUAGCAGAUGGUGUUAUUAAUAUUGUUUAUGUUAGGACUAAUAAGAACCUAGCGGAUCCUUUAAUAAAAGGUCUUACAAGAGACUUAGUUAAGGAUACAUCUUUUGGAAUGGGAUUGAAACCUUUAAAUAAUAAAGUCACCAACGACGAUAACCCAACUAUGUAGUAGUUGUACCGCUACUCCAUAGUUAAAUGGAUAAUAACAAGUUGUUGUUAUGUGACUGGUUUGGCACCGAGUAAUAAAUAAUCACAUUCGAGAUAUUCGGUGCAAAUAGCUACGAGGUUGAGGUUGAGUAUUUAUUCUUAAUGAAGUUCAAGUCUUAUAGUAGCUAAAGACAUGAUUUGAAACUUCACCUAAGUGAACAUAAGAAAUGGUGCCGUUUCUAACAAGAUCAUGGUUUAAUCUAGUAAAUGUUCAUGAAUUCAAGAUAGAGCACAAGGCCGGAAUAGUGCUAAAUAUUGGAACACAACUUUGAAAAUCUGGGAUAGCUUAUAUGUGAUGUAUCUCCGGUAUUUACUUAAGAGACAAAGUUUAAUGCUUAGCACAUUAUUGUCUUGUAAAUGCUUUGAAAUACACUCACUAAUUAAAGGUUAAAAUCGAAAGAUAUCUUUUUGUAUGUAUAAGUUUAUCAUUAAUAAAUAUGAAAAAUAUUACAAUCUAGUGGGGGAUUGUAAGAGAGAUUGUAACAUUUUCAAUCUUUCGUUUGAUAUUCUGGAAGAAAACGGUUUGCCGUUUAUGGAGAAAACGGCUAACUGUUUAAUUCCAAAUAGCAUGUUUUCUGUUCUAGAGAAAACGACUAACUAUUUGGAGAAAAUGGCUAACUGUUUAAUUCUAGAGAGCAUGUUUUCUGUUCUAGAGAAAGCGGCUAACCGUUUGGAUAAAACGACCAACCGUUAAUUACAGAGAGCAACUUAUUUGACAUUCUGGAAUAAAACGGCUCACCGUUAUUGAGAAAACGGCUAACCGUUUAUUUCCAGAAAGCGUGUUUUUGCGUCAAUUGGAAAAACGGUUAGCAAGCUUGGAAAUUUCAAUUGUCAAUCGAUGCAAACUCAAACCAAAAGAGUGUUUUUUUGAAGAAGUACAAUUUCUAAUGGUUGUAUUCUUUCAAAUAAACAUCUUCUUUAUUAAAGAUAGACAAACAAUUAGAUCAUAAUCAGAUUUUGCAGGUUUCAUAUAUGUUCUGGAAAUACAAUAGAUCAUAAUCAGAUUUUGCAGGUUUCAUAUAUGUUCUGGAAAUACAAUCUUAUUUGCUAGAGAUUGUAUUCAUGAUUUGAUAUAUCUUGGGGGUAAUUUACCAUUAAAACUCUAUAGCAAACCAAGAUUGGUGAGGACAAAUAAAACCUUAAAGGAAAGUGUGCAAACACGUCUCAAAUCCUAAGAAUUGUUUUUUGUUCUUUGCCUCCAUAUUCUUAAAAUUCGAAAAUUCACCCAUCAUAUACAUACUACAUAUUAUUAACUUUUGUUUUAUAACUAUAGUGUUUUUUUUUUACCGCAACUGUAGUUUAAAAACUACAGCACCUCAAUCCCAAACAAGACCUUAGUGGAAGCGAGCGCAAAAGCCGAUCACCCAACAUUCGCGCUUGUGAGAGACUCCACUCUCUCCACUCAUUCCAAAUCCAAAAUCCUCGACCGUUUCAAAAAUCUCGGCGUCAAUUUAGUUCUUGUGCGCCACUCUUUUAGCUUUCCAAUUUUCCCGCCAAUUUUCUUUUAUUGUGAUUAAUUAAUUAAUUAAUUAAUUAAAGUAAAGAUUUUAUAUUAUAAUUUUGUUUGCAGGGAGAUCUAUACAGCCAUGAGAGCUUGGUGAGUGCAAUAAAGCAAGUGGAUGUUAAGGUAAUGAUUAACUUAAGUAAAUGCGUUAACUAAUUACUUGGGAUUUUAAAUUCAAAUGCGUGAAUUGUUCUAAAAAAUGAUUUAUGUUUAUUAGUCAGAGAUUCUUUCCUUCAGAAUUUGGAAAUGAUGUUGAUCGCGUGCAUGCCGUUGAGCCAGCAAGAACAUCAUUUGCCACCAAGGCUAAAAUCCGCCGAGCUGUUGAGGCUGAAGGAAUUCCAUACACCUACGUAGCUUCCAAUUUCUUCGCUGGUUUGUAUCUUUCCAGUUUCUCACAGCCUGAAGCCACAGCUCCUCCAAGGGAUAAAGUGGUCAUCGUAGGUGAUCGAAAUGCAAAAGGCAAAGCGCUUCUGGAUACAUUUACUCUGUACACGCAAUGUGUGGUUACUGUUUGGGGAUAAAAAAGGAGAUUAAUUAAUAAAGAAAAUGAAAUUAUUGAGGGAUUUGCUGAAGAGUUGCGUGCACUCCUCAUUUUUCUCCACCACUCAUCUUACUUGCAAAAUGCAAUGACCAAACUAUCCUCGCCAAAGCCUAGACAUUUACUUGUGUUCAAAGGCCAUUUAAGAGAGACAAGUACAAAAAAUUAUAAAGGAUAGUGAGCAAAAGAAGAAAAUGGAAGGAGGGGAGAAUAAAAAAUGGGAGUGGGGCGUUAUCUAGGGAGGAUUUUUAUUUUUAUUUUUUUUCCUCUCUUCUCCAUGGCAUCUCUUUCUCUCUUUCUCCCACUAAGAAAUUCUUUCUUUUACACUCUAUUUUACUUUUAUUCAAAUUACACAAAAAACUUUUGGUUUUAAGGCAAUGUUUAUUAAGCCACGUGAAUUUGAAAAAGCAGGAAUAAGGGGAUGAUUUUAACACAUUAAUUCACCAACAUUAAUUGGAAAAGAUCAGUUGCCACUUCGAAUCAGAGUAAUUUCUUCGGCAAUAGCCAAAUAUUGAUAUUUGAUCUUGACACUGUAGUUAAAUCAAUGUAACUGGUUUUGUCAUUUGAUCCCCAGUAAUUUUUAACAAGGAAGACGAUAUUGGAAUUAAUUCUAUCAAAGCGGUGGAUGAUCCGAGAACACUGAACAAAAUACUUUACAUCAGACCCCGUUGCAAUAUCUACUCAUUUAAUGAUCUUGUGUCUCUGUGGGAGGAAAAGAUUGGCAAAGCCCUUGACAGGGUCUAUGUUACAGAGGAACAACUUCUGAAAAACAUUCAAGGUUAGUUAGAACUAUCACUUUAUCAAGUGCAUAGAUGUAACUGACCGAUAAUGGAAUUUUUUUUCCUUCUCCAAAAUGCGAUAGAAUCUAAUCGGUUUCAACAAUCUCAAGAACACCUAUUCAUGGUUGUGUUGUUUGAAAUCUGUAUGUAUCAGUUUUCUUUCUAGAUCUCAGAUUGCUCGCAAGGAUGUCAAGUUUUGAUGAUGCUUGCCUGUUUUCCUGUGUUUACAGAAGCUUCAUAUCCACUCAAUAUGAUAUUACCUAUUGGGCACUCUGCCUAUGUCCUGGGAGAUCAGACCAACUUCGAAAUUGAACCUUCAUUUGGAGUAGAGGCAACAGAGCUUUAUCCAGAUGUCAACUACACUACUGUGGAUGAGUACCUCAACCAGUUCAUAUAAACCUUCUGAGAUGAGCAGCAGGAUCCUAACAAAAAAUUGGGUGGUUUCCAUCCCUGAUUCUAUGGUAUAAAGAUAGCGGCUUUCCCUGCUUUUGCCAGUUCAAUGAAGUUUGUUAGAUGAUGUUAUUUAUACUAUACUAGCAAAGAUCAAGUUGCCUUUCUUGUCAAGAAGCCAAGCUCUGGCAUUGGUUUAUGCUAGUUUUUCAUGUUUAUUACUUUUUUUGCAUUCAAAAUGAUAAAACUGCAGAGGUUGUUGCAUGCACGUCAUUUGUUAGUAGGGGUAUCAAUUUAUGAACGUAUGAAGUAUCUCUUCUGCAACGGCAUCCUCCUUAACUGUCAGUAGGAUCACAAUAAGUCGACCAACCAUCUACCGUAUGGAUUAUCUAUAAAUUGAAAUUGGUGUGUAUUAUGGAUCUGUCACUCUGCUGUUUCUGUUUUCUUUUCUAUUUUUACCAAGAAAGAAACAUUGUUAAAACUGAAUGGUUGUUAUCUCGUCUUGUUGUAAUGUUGUGUAUGCUUUCUAGAAAAUAAUGAAGUGCCAAAUAUGAAAAUACUAGUGGCUACCUUACCAUCCUUAAUAAGUUGUCUGAUUGUCACCGUCAACAAUCACUCUCAGCAACUCAUAAUCCAUUUAAGCAUAUUAUAAAAUAAUCAAUUUUGUAUUUGCACCAACUUUUAGUUUUAAAUGACAAUUUCGUUGAUCCCCACACUUCUGUACUAAUCAAAUCCACUGAAACUGGACUUUUUUUUCUUUUUUUUUAUAAUUACAUCGAUUGCAUUGGCUAUUGCAGGGAAAAGACUGCCUCUACAGGGAACUAAACUUUCAGAAUUGUUCUUAUGAGGGUUUGAAUAUGCUCUCGUACUAGGUCAAUGGCCUAUUGGUUCGAGACCAUUCACAAAGAAAGAAAUGAGUUUUGCUUGUAUAAAUGAAAGAAAUCCAAAUGAUAACUAAUGUAUAGUGGUACAUGAGAAAAAUAAUUUCAGCCCGUGUAAAGUCAAAAAGAGAAAAUAUUAAAAGAAAGGAUAAUGUCAUUGAGUUCGGUGAAGUGAAAGAAAAUGAAAAACAUGGGAUUUAGUCAAACUUAGUGUCCCAAUCAGCAGAAAAAGGUUUUAGAAACUCACCUCAAGUUAAGCCAACUAUUAGGAGCUUUAUUUAAUCAUGACUUUCUAAUGUAUAGUACUCCAAUACUAAACGAGGGCUACCUCUACGCUUGCAAUUGUAAAUGAAAUUGAGUUCGUGACGCACAAUGAAGUGAGCAAAAUGAGUUGAGAUCUGAGAAUAUAUUAAAGAAAAUAUGAAUCAAUGAAUUUUGGUUAAAAAAAACAAAUGCUGGUUCUUCAAGACCUGCGUGUAUUGUGUAAGUUUUGUUAGGAGAAGGAAAGCAUUUUGGUCUAAAACGCACUAAAUCGGAUUCAUUUGCUUGAUAUCUAAUAAGGGUGAAUUAACCACUCGCCCACAGCAAUUCAAGUCCCAAAAAAAUUAUUGUGGGGGCUAAAUUUCUUCUUUAAUUAUAACAAAUAAUUGAGUGGAGGAUAAAAAUUUAGGCCAUGUAUAACAAUAACUAAUAUAAACUAGUCCUAAUAAUAGUAUAAUUGUAAAUAUCAGUUGUAGUCUCAUACAAUAUAAGUUUAUAGAUUAUAAUAUCGGCAUAAAAAGAAAAAUGAUAUCUGACGGUCAAUCAAUAAAAGGACAAAAACUUGGAGUAACAUACCACAAAGUCAAUGUAGCUGGACAGAUGAAUAUAAUAUGUAAACAAAUUUAAAUGGGAUAAUACCAUACGGUACAUACAUAACAUUUUAAAACUGAAUUAAAAAAAUAAAAUUAAAACUGAAUUGGAAUUCGUAUGUGUAUCCAGCUACCUUGCAACAGUUGUAAGGUACCCUAACUUUGCAACAAUUUCAUCCUUCGUGCAUUCGGUCACAAAGUCCAAAUUAGGCACGUUUAAGAAUCGAACUGAAAAACUAAAAAAAAAGAAUCCGGCGAUAUUUGCGAACCGGAAACGAGCCAGCGUUAUGCUUAUGUCAUUUCAGAGAUAUCAACAGUCGUGCUUUCAGUCCUUAAACCUCAAGGGCAUUUUCGUCCUUUCACUCAAGCGUGAAACUGCAUGUAAGAACUGCUUCGCUUACACGCUCCAUGCACAUUUAAAGGCACCACUGUCGGAUAAAAAAUAUCCAUCCAUUUGAUCAUUUCAAAACAAAACGAAAAAAAAAAUCUCAGUAAUUGAACUGAACGAGUCUCAGAAAUGGCAUCGAAAAGUAAGAUUCUAUUCAUCGGCGGGACAGGGUAUAUCGGUAAAUUCACUGUCGAAGCGAGCGUAAAAGCCGGCCACCCGACGUUCGUGCUCGUGAGAGAAUCCACAAUCUCUGGUCCUUCCAAAUCUCAACUCCUCGAUCACUUCAAAAACCUCGGCGUCAAUCUUGUCAUAGUGCGUUUUCAUUUUUCUCUUUUCUUUAUUUUUUAUUCCGAUCAUUUUUACACGUCGAAGUGUAGCAUCUACUACUUAAUAUACAUAAUGAUAUUAUUAUUUUUUAAUUUUUUUGGGUUGCUGUUAUUAUUAUACAGGGAGAUGUGUUGAAUCACGAGAGUUUGGUGAAGGCGAUAAAACAAGUGGACGCGGUGAUAUCAACAGUUGGUCACACUUUAAUAGCCGAUCAGGUCAAGAUUAUUGCUGCCAUUAAAGAAGCCGGUAACGUUAAGGUAUGACAUAAUUAAUGUAAAUGUCUUAGAUUUCGAUCAGGAUUGUGCACUCGUGCACACGUGGUGAUUUAUUCUUCGUGUGGAGCUCGCUGUAGAGUAGAGCUCCCAGUUCCGCUAAUAAACACCCGUCAGAUGCGCAAUUGCGCCUCAAAAUAAUUUAAUUAAUUAAUUAGGUAUAAACACCGAUGGCAUGAAAGCAAUUAAAAUUAGUUGAUGUUUAUAAAUUAUUUAUUACUCAGAGAUUCUUACCAUCGGAAUUUGGAAAUGAUGUUGAUCGAGUCGAAGGCGCCGUAGAGCCAACAAAAUCGACGUAUGACGUAAAGGCGAAAAUCCGCCGAGCCGUUGAGGCAGAAGGCAUUCCGUACACUUACGUAGAAUCUUAUUGUUUUGAUGGGUAUUUCCUCCCCAAUUUGUUGCAGCCUGAGGCCACUGCCCCCCCUAGGGAUAAGGUUGUCAUCUUAGGCGAUGGAAAUCCAAAAGGUAAUAUAAUUUAAUUAAGCUCUGUUUGUUUGGUAUGUAUUGCGGUGUUAAUGUUAUUGUCUGUUGUACAAUGGAUGGUCUUGCUUGGUACUGUUGUUGGAGAGCUGCAGUGUUUUGAUAAACACCUCUAUAGUCUAUCCUUAUCCUUAGCUUUCAAGUUAAGUUGAUUUUAUACAACACUUGUUUAAUUAAAAACUUGUAAUAUUCUUACUACUUUGAUAAAAAAAAUAUUACGAUUAAAGUAUUAAUGGCACCAUAAUACGAAAUGAAUCUUAAGUGGUCAUUAUAGAUUUUAAGAUAGAGUUUUAAGUGAUUACCAGAUACUUUAGCUGCUGAACCGCCACAUCAUGGUUGCCACACAACAAUUUCAAACAGAACCUAAAUAACUUCAUUGCAAAACAGUUAAAUGAAUCUAACUUAGUUUCGUCGUUUGAUUUUCAGCUGUUUUUAACAAGGAAGAUGAUAUUGGAACCUACACUAUCAAAGCGGUUGAUGAUCCGAGAACCUUGAACAAAAACUUUUACAUUCAGCCUCCCGGUAAUAUUUACUCAUUCAAUGAUCUUGUGUCUCUGUGGGAGAGAAAGAUUGGUAAAACCCUCGAAAAGGAGUAUGUUUCAGAGGAGCAGCUCCUAAAGAAUAUUCAAG
rnacentral:lncRNA from 1 species